CGUUAAUUUCCAAGAUGAAGAAAACAUGAAGGCAACACCAAUAGAGGCGGUUGCUAGAUUCCGGAGUGCCUCUGAAAGAUUAGUUGUUGCUGCAUUUUUUAUAAUCUGGGUGUCCUCAGAUAGCCUGCUGAGGAGUUCCCCUGUUCGAGUAACAUCAAAGAAGGCUAUUUCCUGUUGGAACUAUUUUAGGAUCAGUUUUGCUGAAAAUCAAGUUUCAAGAGAAGGCUGAUUCAAGCUAUGAGCAGAAUAACUAUCAAAUCAUUGGUUACAUGAACCAUCAAUCUUAAUUCUUAAAGCUGGGUAAUCAUUAACUGGCAAUAUCAUAUAACUAGUAGCUGAUCUAAUUGGCCUGACCUGAUGAAUAAGAUGACUGAAUAAAUCUCGCCUAAGGCGAGCUACAACCCUUUCACUGGCAGAAGAAAAGAGCCAUGACCGAAGUGCUGUGGACACAGACCUAAAUGGAUGAGAGAAAAAUAACUAUAGUGUCAAACUUUUGAAGCCAAAAGAUCAAGUAAUGUAGUUUAUAAUGUUGAUGCAUGAAUAUGGAUGCAAUAGACUAAGGAAAUAGAGAUAUAAAAUUCCUAAAAAGGAACUAGUCUUCAACUAAAUUACAUCAUCAUAGAAGUUUAUUAUAGAAUCUGAUUCUUAAGACAAUAUUUUCAGGUUCAGUGUAUGUUUUUGCAAAUCUUCAAACCUUCUUGAAAUGCAAAAACUAAUUGACAUUUUAGCAGAAACUCUGCUAUAAGAUCAAUAUAUACAAUAUAGUAAGCAAAAAACAUGAAGACAAGCUGAGAUAAUGCUGUUUUUAAGAUAAUCUAUGACUAGACCCUGAGUUGUAUUUUUUUCUUGAAGCAUUUCAACGGAUAAGUUGGUCUCAUGGAAACAUCAAAAUCUCACAAUGAUGUGAGGGUAAGGGAACACUCAUUAUCUAUCUCUCUCAAAAAUGAAGGAGCAUAUGAAAUGCUACAAGAAAAAGGAUUGUUUCUUUCCAACUUAAGAAAAGUCGAAAACCAGAUAAACCAUAACUAUCUCAUAUAUCAAUGGAUGCCCAAUUGUUAAAAUAGACAACUAUGAAUAAAACCAUAACUAGUAGAACACUGGAACCUGAAAAUCACAAAAGGAAAAGGAAUACCCUAUUACAACGAUCAGCACAAUGUAUGUUACAGUAUUCUUGACAGCUUCCAGGGCCUCUGAUUGCUGUUCAGGUGUCCUUAUAUCUCUUGAAACAAUGUCUAUGAUCAUUCCACCAUAUUUAGGCUGCAAUAAAAGCAAUUUGACAUAAUGCAAAUAUGAGGAAACAAGAGUAAGGGCAGGAUAAAACCUUAUUUCACGGUUAACUUCUGCUCUUGAUUUCUAAAUGGUUUCAUAUGAACAUUUCCAGCUUACUGGGAAAUAGAGUUUGAAGUGAAAGAAUUCCUUUGAUGUUACAAUUUUUGCUUGCAUACUAUUGUGCCGAACAGAGAAAAAUAAAAAAAUACAGUAUGUUUGAAGGAGCAAUUCAUAAUCUUGCACGACGUUACAUUUCUUUCACUCUUUAGAAGGCAACAAUAUUUCACAGUGUACUAUGCCAUGUAAAAGAAGACACUGAACAUAAAGAUGUGACAAUCUCCAAAAAAUGGGUUACCAUCAAAGGUGAGCUGUUUUAAGGGGGAAACUGUUAAGAGUUUACAUACAUACAUCAUGAUGAAUUUUUGCAUUUUGUAGUUUUAAUUCUAAUCAGGGUUUAUUUCUACAGUAGAAUUAGAGCUAUUCUGGAUGAUGGAAAUACAAAUGAAGGGCCAUGGAAACACAACACUCGAAACAAAGGGAACUGGACAAAUGACUUUUUUUUAAGCAUAAACAGUCAAUGAUGAGCCAAUCCUAUUCCUAAAAUGUGCUUUGUGGUUAACAGCAAUGAGUUUGUACUCAUUUUUCAUCUCAAAUAAUCAUGGAUCAUGAUCAAAAUAAAAGGUAAAUAAAGGAAUUUUAAGAACAACAAAGAAGAUUCGGGGCAUUAUGAGACUAAAGUUUGAUAAGAAACAACAUACAAUCAAGAGAUUUGUAGUGGAUGCUAUCAAUAAUGCAAAGGUGGCAACAAAUAUCUUCCCAGCAUCUGGCUUUGCCUGAAAAUUGAAGGGAAAAAAAGCAUUUCAAUGCACAUUGAUGUUAGAACUCCAUGCUUAGAAAUGAUGGGAAACAAAUCCAUCACUAACCAGUGCAAAUACUCUCCAAAAUCCAACAUUGACUGCCUGAAAAUUUCAAAAGGAAGACCAAAAAUCCUUAAGUCCCCCCAAAAAAUUUGCUAAUUGGGAAAUAAAAAUGUAGGAAAAUAGCUUCAAAUAUCACCUCUUCUGCAUUGCCUUGCUCAAGGUCUGACAGAGGACUUUCAGCUGCUUGUUGCCCAUUUGUUUGCUUACUUGCCUGCACAAAAUAAAGUGAAUUGUUUCCACUAAACCAGUGUUUGUGUGAAUUUCUUAUAUUAAAUUGCAAAAUAAAAAUAUGUUUUAAAUAGUCUUCUUCUAAUGUUGUUUCAGCAUUUCUUUUUCUUUUAAGCACCUCAAAAAUUAAAUUAGAAAAAGCGAACAGAUUGUAACUUAUGUUAGGUAUCUUUCUUGGUUCAGUGAAAUAAUCUCAAUUUCCAUUUUCCAUUUUUAUGCUAUUCAUUCUUUUUCCUCUCAAUAUUUCACUUUCAUUAACUAAAAUGAAUACUAAGAUAAGAAAAGCUGGUCUUCUAAAUUCUAUAAAAAAUUCUUUUGAAAUCUGCAUAAGAUAACUAAAAUCUAAAGAGCUGAGUGAAGAAGAAAACCAAAUUAUCACUUACUUAAGCCUAAUCUAACUAAAGAAUUUGAUGUCAUAGACCAUUAGAAAAAUAAAACUAAUCAGAGUCUGGCUCGACAUGAUAUGCUUGAUUCCUUUUAAGUUUUUUUUUCAUAUAUUUGGAGCAUAAUAUUUUCAUAGCUACAUCUAAAUAUAUAUAUAUAUAUAUAUUAUAUAAUUAAGAAAUGAAAAAUUGGGCUAACAUAUCUCAAAAAUCAAAUAAACCCACUUGAUGGAGAAAACAAAAAGACACGAAAACGAUCAUAUAAAUUCAAGUACUACCCUUUGCAGGUUGCAGGCUACAGAUUCCCAUAAAAACAGAAACAAACAUUCUUUUAUUGUGAAGGAGAAUCACCAAUAAAAGAAUCCCAGAAAAUUAAAUCAAAUUAAAUUAUAAAAAGAAAGAAGAAAACCAACCUCCUUGUUCAAAAGAGGCGUUCUUUCACUUCCAGAAUUAGAAAUGGAGUUUGAAGUCUCAUCUAAGCUCUGUUCCUUCCCCAUCAAAACACUCACCACAACAAAAACACCGGAAAUGGGAAAUGGGACUUCUUUUUAUAAGAUUUUGAGCAAUUAUAAAAGAACUUGGGAUUUUUAUUUGGUCCACAGCAUUCGUUCUGUUAGUGUCAACUUUCCAACGUCUUUGUUUAUUGAUUUAUUCCUGUCAGUGCAUAAAAAAAUAUUAUAUUAUUUGCAAAAUUUUCCAGGGCAGGUUUUUUUACUACCAAAUAUGGGAAUUGAAUUCUAGAUUUCAUGUCGAUUAACUUGAAUCCCAAGUAAUUUUAUCAUUAAGCUAAUCAACUAUAUGUUGAAUUUUUGGAUAUUAAUUUUAAUUAUUUUAUUUAAAAAUUAUAUAGUAGUAUCAUCCCAAUAAUAUUAAUUACCAUUAAAAAAAAUGAUAUAUUACUCUUUUUCAUCUAUUGUUUUAUAGUAGUAUCUAUUAUUAUGAUACUUAAAAUUAAUACCGUUAGUGAAUGCUAAGACAACUAAUGAAAAUUCGAUAUGUGGAUUUUUUUUCCAAAUAACCUAUUUCAUAUGUAUAAUAUAAGAUUAUGUGAAAAGCUAAAUAAACAAAAAUUAAAUUAAAUUUAAUUUAAUUUAAUUUAAAAAUAAAUAAUUAAACCUCAACAAUAUCUGAUUAAUUAAAAAAUUAAAUACUAAAUUUACGUAAAUAAAAAAGUCAUUUUCUUCGCUUAAAAAUAAAUACUAAAGUGAUUUCCUAAAAAAAACAUUUGAAAUCAAUUUUCCUUCACAUUAAACAUUAAUGGCAUAAGUUUGAUAUUAAUUUUCUUCAAUUAUUUUUCAAAAACUUUACUUUUAGGGAAUUUUGUCUUAAAUAAAUUUUGGAAAAAUUUUGGCAAACUUUUUUUAAAACCAAAACUUUAACUUUUGUGUAAGAAGAUAUUCAAAUAUGAAAAAAAAGCCUUCUGUUUUUUUGUAAGGUAUAAUGAUUUAUUUGAUCCUUUAAUUUUAUAAAAAAAUUCAUUUUAAAUUUUUUUGUUUUUUUAAAUCUUAAAUUUACGUUUUUUAAUAGAAAAAUUAUCAUUUUUUUAAACUUUAUUGACAUUGCAAAUACAUGGAUGACAUGUCAAUAUUUAAUUUUUUUAAUUUAAAAUUUCAAAAAAAAUAUAAAACAAUUUUUAAAAACUAAAAAUCAUUAAAAUUAUUAAAAAUAUUAACUUUUCCAUAACCAACAAAAUUAAUAAACAUUAACUUUUCCAUCAAAUGUUGAUGUGUCAUAUAGGUGGCAAUCCACAUGCAUGCCACGUUAACAAAAUUAAUAAACAUUAACUUUUUUAUCUAUUUUUGGGUGAUUUGAUAAAAAAAUACAAUUUCAAAGGUUAAAAGAGGCGAAAAAUUAAAUGAAGAGACAAAAUGAAUUUUUUCGUAAAGUUGGAGGGCUAAAAAAAUUAUUAUGCUUUUUCCCAAUACUGCAAUACUGCAAAGGCUCGAUUAAUUAGACCUAAUGUUUUUAAAAGGUUAAAAUAUGCCAUAGGUCCUUGUAUUAUUCUCAAAUUUGGAAUUUAAUCCUUUUAUUUUUUUAAAGAAAUUUAGCCCUCUAUUUUUUAGAUUUCAAAAUUUAGGUCUAACUAUUAACACUAUUAAGAUUAUUUUUGUUAAAUUCAUGCUCAUCAUAACCCUAUUCUUUUAAUUAUAUUACUACCAAGUAAGUAUUUUUUUUUAUUUCAAAAUGUCACGCCAAUAAAUUUAACCAAAAAAAUAAUGUUAACAAUUGGACUUAAAUUUUAAAAUCUAGAAAAUAAAGGGACUAGACUUCUAAAAGUAAAAAUAUAUAGACUAAAUUUUAAAUUUGAGAAGAACUCAGAGACUUAUUGCAUAUUUUAACCCAAUUUAAAAGGGGUUUACUUAAUGGCCGGCCACAUAUUACCUCCCUAGGUUGUGGAUAUUAUUAUUUUGUGCUUUAAAAUAUAUGUGGUGGAAAUGUCCAUGGCAAUUGGAUUCCUUGAAUAUUCCACUCUACUUUUGAUGUUAAAUUGAGACCUUUAGUAUGAUGUGUUUACGAGAGAUUAGUCAACUUAAGCACAUGGAUUAAGAUAAAAUAAUGUUGGUUAAAGUAUAUUUCAAGUCCCUAUAUUUUUUUAUACAUUUAGAAUUUUUAUUUUAAAAUUUUAAAAUUCAUAUCCAAGUUAACCUCGAUUCUUUUAUAUAAAAUUUAAUAAUGAUUGUUGUAUAAAUUAAUGCAUACAUUUGUGUUAUAUUCUUACUUUAAAAUAGAAAUUUUUCUAUUUAAGUCUUUUUGGAUUCGCCCUUAUUUUGAAUGAAAAUUUUCAGCUCUGGAUUUCCACUUCUAUACGUAAGGGUGUUCAAACGGUCGAUUCGGUUAAUACUCUAACAGAAUUACUCGAAAUGUAAAAAUUUGUAACUGCUAACAGAAUCGAAGUUUUUUUCAAAUGCAUUAACCGAACCGAAAUUUAUAUAUUUUUGUCUUUUGGUUAAAAUAAGUAUAAAACAUAUAAAAAUAUAUAUUGCUAAUGUUUAUUUUAUUUUAUUUAAUAGUUCAAAAAACUUUAAAGGGAAGUGAAAACAACAAAUAAGACAUUAGAAAUUCUACAUAAGCCGUAAAAGUUAACAACCAAACACUGAGUCUUGAAAACAACAAAUAUUUUAAUUAAUUGGUUAAUUCGAUUAAUUAACUGAUUUUAAACUAAAUUAACUGAUAAUUGAAAUUUCAAAAAAUCAUUAAUUAAUCUGAACUAAAUUUGACCAUCAACUGAUUAAUCGAAUUAGAUCGAUUCGAUCGGUUAAUUCGAUUUUUACUGAACUGUAAACACCCCUACAUAUGUGCCCCGCAUAGGAAAAUAUGCCACGUGUGAUUUUUUACAGCUUUUUUUUCAUGUCUUUGUUUCAUUUUUUGCAUUUUUCAUUUUAUUCAUGAAAGAUUUUUAAAAAUAGAAACAGUUUUAGAAAAUAAAUAAAUUAAAAAAAAUUAUAUUUCUUUUAAUUUACAUAUUUUAUACUUUUUAAGCCUCAAUAGAAAAAAAUCUUUAAAAAGUUUUAAUAAUACAUUAAAUAUUAUUUUAUUAAUUUUUGAAUUUUUUUGAUUUUUUAAAUUAAUUUCCUUAAAAAAUUUAAAAAAACUCAAAAUUAAUCAAAGUUUUACGUUAUUUUAUUAAUUUUACUUUUAACAAAAUUAUAUUUUUGAAAAAAAUUUAUGCAUUCAUUUGUAAUUAAUUUGCUCAUUACAUUUAUUUUAUCAAAUAAUUUGAAAGUUUAUUACUUUAUGAUAAACAAUAUUUUUCUAAUUGAAUCGAUGGUUGAACCGAUCAAAUUACUGGUUCGUUAAUCAUAUUAAAAAAUAAAAAAUUAUGUUCAGUCAAUCUUUUAAUUGGUUCGACCAAUUCUUACUAGUUGGGGUUCAAUCAGUUCGAUACCUUUCUUUGGACUGAUACCUUGGUUUAUUUCCAGUCUAACCAGUCCAAUCUGAUUCAAACAUUUAUUUAUUUUUUAAAUUUAUUUAAUAUCAAUAUCAAUAUCAAAUUUAAAUUUAUUAUUAUAUUUUUAUAUAUUUUUUUGAACUUUUUGGAAUUAGGAUCAAAUUGAGAAUAUUUAUAAAAUUUGAGGGUUAAUUUUUUAAAAUUAUAACUAAAUCAAUAUAAUAUAUAAAAGUUGGGGGCUAAAUUUAAUAUUGUACCCAUUUUUUUAACUACCACAUCAACUUUUUAUUUGUGAUUUUAACAGGAAUAAUCAAAAUGAUUGAACUAUGUAACGUGUGUGCUUAAAUUAUAAACUUUUUAUUUUAGGUGCCUAAAAUGAAUUUUUUUUAUAAUUAAUUGACUAUUUAUAUAAUUUACUAUUAUAUGUUGAUUUCAUAAUUAUCAAGCAUAAAUUACUUUAUUUUAAAUACUUUUAAUUUUGAUUAUAAAUUUAUGUUUUAUAUAAUCGAGUGUUCAAGAAAUUAUAAUUUCUUUUUAGGUGACAUCAUGAUUGUUACGAUUGCAUGUUAGUGGGUUUAUAUGUUCCACGUGUAAGUAAGUUUUAUAUUAUUAUAUGUUCUAUAUUAACACUUUUUGUUUUUUUUUUUUGGAGUUUUGUAGGUUUACCAAUCGAGUCACUCUCGACUCUAUCAACUAGGUUAAUUGGCCGAAGCUCUCAACAAAAAAUAACAGAUAAAAUUCUAUCGAGGAUAAUAUCUUCGUUGAGAAAUUAAUCGACUGUUUUCCGAACCAUCUUUAAAAACUUAUUUCGGAGGAGUAGACCCUUCACCAUACCAUUGGUUCUGUUAGUGUCAACUUUCCAAUGCCAUUGUUUAUUGAUUUAUUCUUUUUAAGUGCAUAAGAAAAUAUUAUAUUAUUUACAAAAUUUUCCAGGGGCAGGUUUCUUUUUAGUACGUAGUAGAUGAAGUCAUACCCAUGAAAAUUUUUCCUAUUAAAAAGUUAUUUAAUAAUAAUUAUAAGUGAUUUGAAACUUAGAUAUUAAGUUUUUAUUUGUUGUAUUUAAAUAUUAGAUAAAAGUAUGAGAAGAUACAAGCAUCAUUUAACAAAAAAGUGCAUUAGUCUUUUUCCAAUUAAGUUGAUACCCGAUUAACCUGUGUUACCAACUUAAUCGAAAAUUUUAUAAUAAUUAUAGAUUACAAAUUGAGGGAAGGCAUGAUAAUAGCAAGGUUUGAACCCUGGUCUCUCAAGUGGCAACAAGAGCUUAGUCAUUACUAUUUUAUGUUGUUGGCCCAAAUGGGUAGAAUUCAGUAUGAUGGGAAGAGUAUGCAUUUGGUAUGCUUGGGAGAAAGUAGAGUAAUCUCUUGAAUAAAUAUGAAUUAGGAAUUUUUGUUUCGGAGAGAUUCACUUAUAUCAAUAUAAAAUUAAUGUAAUUUUAUACACUUCGUAACUUUCUAUAGGAUUAUAUUUUGAAGCAAUCUGAAUUUUACAUCGAUGUAAGUGGAUCUUUUGUAACUUUUUACAUGCUUUUGUUUGGGAGGAUGCUUAUAGCCAUAUAUUAAAGAGAAUGAAAAUAUUGUGCCAAUUUAAUGUUUUCUUGAAGGAAGAAAUUAUUGUUCUCAAAAGAGAAAAAAAACUCAGAACCCUAGUCCAAGAAAAGAAUGAUGCUUUCAAAGCAACCAAGAAAGAGCUAAAUGACGCCAAAAUUAUCUUAAAAAAGUUUGGAGGCCAAAGUGAGAAACUUGAUGAAAUUUAAGCUACGCGGUUAUUUGAACCAGCCCAUAAAAGGCUUGGUUAUAUUAAUAAAGGUAAGAAACCUAUUAUUUCAACAAGUUUUGUUAAAACUAAAGAUGUGAGCCCAACCCAAUUUCAAGUUCAUAAUAUAAUAUUUUUCUUUUAUAUAUAUACAUAUAUGUAAUUUGUAUUAUCUGAAAACUAAAUAUAUUAUAUAUGAUGUAAAUAUCUAACAUAUGUUAAAGUUUUUUUUUUUGUGUUCAGGAAUUUAAUAAAAGAUAUAUAGAUAUAUAAUAGUAGUAAAAGAUAUAUAAAUAUUGUAACACCCCUAAUCUGUAUCCGUCGCCAGAUUAGGGUUACAAGGCAUUACCGGAAAUAACACAGUUCUGCACAGUCAUUUAUCAACAUUUUUUUUGCACAUAUGAAAAACAUGACCGAAUAUAAUCAUUCAUACUUAAUUAAAACAUUCGAAAAUAUUAUACUAAUUAAUAAGAAAGCACAUGCGCGACCUUAAUAAUAAUACUACAUGAUCGAACCUAUAUUUUAUGAACUUUAUACAUGCUCUUGACAUGGUAAAAACAAAACCAUUUAUGAAUACCAUUACUAAUAUAUGGCUAACCAACUUCAUUGACAAAUUUGCAUGUUAUCAAUUUGCAGAAAUUAGCUCAAUUUAUACCAUUUUCAUACAGCAUAAUAGACAAAAAUUUAAACACAAACAAGUAUUACCAAAAGACCAAAUUUCAUUAAUAAAAAUAAAUAACCAAUAUAAUCGCUUCCCAUUUGAUCAAAAUAAUCAUCUCACAAAUACAAAUACCGAAUCAAGACAUGCCAAUUUCGCAAGAAUCAUACCAAUCUCAUAUGCUUUGUAUUAUGCCAAAACGUCACUUAUAAAACCAAUUUGUUUUCAUCCAUUUAGCAAACAAAACCUACUUAGUAAAAUAUCAUCAUUUACCAAUUGAAACCAUACCUAAAUAAUUCAAUUCGCAUUCAAUACAUACUCAUCAUUUCACUUCAAACCAAAUCAAGGUAUAAAAAUCAUAUUAAGCAUUUCUCAUUGUCGAAACAUAUGAUCAAACAUCACAAACAUAUAUGCUAUGCAUUAAGCUUAUCAACUUAAACUAAUUUAUAAGACAUUCAAAUCAUUACUCAACUAAGACAUAUAACUAAAACACCAUUUAUCAAAAUCAUCACAAAAUGAACAUAACACAUAAUGCUUCCAUACCAAACCAAACAUUUUCAACUCAAGCCAUAUCACAUAGCUUGAUCAAAACCCCAAAAUUCAUACCGCAUUCACCGACAUAAAUGACCAUAUAAAUCAACCCAUAAACUAGCUUAUACAUGCCAUAUUUACAAUAUUUACAAGUUCCAAAAGUACCAAAAAUCAUCUGGAUAGUGCGAUAGCAAGUUUCCGACCACGCCCAAAAUCGAGCUAGCUUCCAAAAUCUAUAGGACAUAGAAAAAUGCACGGAAUAAGCAUUAAGCUUAAUAAGCCCGUAUAAUAUAGAAUUAAACUUACCAAAUUAACAUUUACCGUUAAAGCAAUUAAAACUAACUCAUUUGUCCACAAAGCCUAUUCACAUCACCAUUCAAAAAUUAGUCAUUUCACAUCUAUAUAUUCAUCCGUUCAUAAGGAUGAAAUCAAACAUAUAACAUUCUUUUGACUUCCAAAUUCAUUCCUCAAUUCAUAUAAAUCAUAUAUCAUAGCAUCGAUCCAAGUCAAAUAGCUAAAUGAAUCGUGUCAUCCAUAUAAUUCAUAUAUAUUCAUAUAACAAAUAAUCUAUGAAAAUCAUGUAUUCCAUGUAGUUUAUAAACCAUGUAAAUCAUGUAAUUUAUAAUCCUUGUAAAUCAUAUAGCUCUUAUAUUAAAUAAUCUUUACAACACAUAUAGGUAUAAUGCUCGUUGAACCUACGGAAAUAUCGAGGGAUACUCGGGUGAUACACACUAACUGUAUAGAUCGAAAAUCCAUCAAUUCAUUGUAAUUUACGCUCUUUCGAGCCAUGAUCAGUAUGCUCCUCCUAAGCUGGUAAACGGUAAGCUCCGUAGAGCUGAAACGGUAAGCUCAUACGAGCUGUGGUGAGUUCGCAACAAAUGCCGGAGCUCGACCAAAUGGUAACCCUAGUGAUAUGUCACUUGUAUCCUACAACUUUCUACGGUUCAAACGGGACUCGGUACUUAUUCGGAGUACUUAGCCAAUAGGAAAUUCAAUUUAAUAUUUCAAUACACAUUCAUACAAAUAUUCAAUUCAACCAUUUAAAAUAUAUAACAAGUUCGAUUCUAAUUAUAUACGAACUUACCUCGUAUUUGCUCGGAUACUUUCGUCUACCCGUCUAACUUUUGUUUUCCCCGAUCAAGUUCCGGUAUUUGUUUAUCCCGAUAUAUAUAUAAAUUCAAAUUUAACCCAUUUAUUCACCAAAUUGUUCAAUUCAAUCCAUAUACAUAUAUUUUGGCCUUUUUACAAAAUAGCCAUCAUAUUUUCACAUUUUGACACUUUAGUCCCUAAUUCACAAAAUCACAAAAUAUACAAAAUUCUUUAUACUUAUGCUUAGCUGAAUAUUCAUGUAUUCCAUACAAACCCAUAUCUUUCAUUUAUUCACUUUUCUAACCACCACAUUUCUAUCUUUUACAAUUUAAUCCUUAAUGCUCAUUUUUGUAAAAAUUCUCUUUAUAAAACCUGUAUAUCUAUUAACAACCAUCAAUAAUCUAGCAAGAAACUUCAAACUACACAUGUAUUCAACAAUGACAUAUUUCAAAAUCACCAAUAAUUUAAGAAAUUAAGGCACGGGCUAGCUAGAUUGAGCUGCAACGAGCUCAAAAAUAUAGAAAUCAUUAAAAACGGGACGAAAAUUGUACCUUAAUUGAUAAUCUAUGCUUGACUGAAUGCAAAAGCCCUAAAAUGACUUCUUUCUCUUGUUAAAAUCGGCAUGAAGAAGAUGAAUGAACCAUUAUGUCAUUUUUGUUUUAAUUAAUUUUAACUUAAAUAUCAUUUUACAAAAUUAACCUUAUAAAGUCAACAUGGAAUUCACAUUUUAUAACCCAUAACCGUCCAUCCAUAUAACUCAUGGUAUAUUUACCAUGCAAGGACUCAUAUAAUUAAUUCCAUAAUCAUUUAAGUCAUUUUACUAAUAGAACUCAUAUUUUAAGCGCUACGCGAUUUAGGCCUUUUUACUGAAUUAAUCAUUUAAUCGGUAAAACUUCUUUACGAAAUUUUCACACGGUAAUUCUUUCAUGCUAUAAAACUUAUUAAAAUAAUAAAAUAAAUAUUUUGACUCGGUUAAGUAGUCCCGAAACCACUGUUCCGUUCAAACUCAGAAACAGGCUAUUACAUAUAUAAUUAUUAAAUAUUAAAUAAAAAUAAGGGUAAACUAUCAAAAUAGUCAUUUUUAUUUACUUCAGGUUAUAUAUUAGUCACGUAUGUUUGAAAUGUUACGUUUUAGUCACUUAUGUUAUCGCGUUGUAACAUUUUAGUCACUGAGUCGUUAAUUGUCGUUAACGGUGUAACGACAAGCUGACGUGGCAUGUUAAAUCAUCAUUUCAAAUGAAAAUUUUAGGUUAAAUUAUACAAUCGAUUCUUAUAUUUUUUUCGUUUUGAGCAAUUUAAUUUUUUUCUUUUAUGUUUUCUUAACUUUCUUUUCUUUAUUUUCCAUUCUCUUCUGCUUCUCCCUCUGUUUUCCUCCCUUCUCCAUUUUCUUUUAACGUAGUUUUUAUAUAUUUUCCAUUUGUUAAAACUAGUCUCUAUACUUUUAUUUUUUUGAACAAUUUAAUUUUUUCGAGUGGGGCCAGCUUGUGGACUAGUUUUAACAAAUGAAAAACAUAGAAAAACUGUGUUAAAAGAAAUGAAGAAGGGAGAAAAUAAGAGGGAGAAGGGAAGUAGAAGAGAAUGAAAAAAAAAAAAGGAAAGCUAAAAGAACAUAAAAGAAAAAAAAUUAAAUUGCUCAAAAAGAUGAUUUAAUGUGUCACGUCAACUUACCGUUGCACCGUUAAUAAUAAUUAAAUGCUCAAUGACUAAAAUGUUACAACAUGAUAACGUAAGUGACUAAAAUGUAACAUUUCAAACAUAGGUGACUAAAAUGUGUAACAUGAAAUAAACAAAAGUGACUAUUUUGAUAAUUUACCCUAAAAAUAAUUAUAUUUAAAAAAUAAAAAUAAAAGUUACCUUAAACCAACUUGAGUUAUAUUUAGAGGUGCUCAUGGGCCGGGCCUAGAAAAAAUUUCGGCCAGCAUCCUAGGCCCGAGCCCAGCCCGAAAUAUGAGCCUAAAAUUUUGUCCAGGCCUUGCCCAGGAAAAACCCUAAGCCCGAGCCCAGCCCGACCCGGCCCAUUUUUUUAAUAAACACUAAAAAUUUAUUUUAAAAAUAAAAAAUAAAAAAGUAUUUUAAAAAUAUUUUAAAAUUUAAAAAAUUUAUAUUUAUUAUAUAUUCGGGCUGGGCCGGGCCGAGCCCGGGCCAAAAAAGUGGUGCCCGAGGCCCGGCCCGUUUUCUAAACCGGCCUCAUUUUUUUGCCCAAACUCAUAUUUCGAGCUUAUAUUUUUACCCAAACCCUCUCAUAUUUCGGGCGGGCCGUUAGGCCAGGCCGAGCCGAGCCGCCCGACCCAUGAGCACCUUUAAAGUAUGGGCGAACUUAGUCAAAACUUCACCAUUCAUAAUCAUAUGUUUUACAUCUAACUAUAGUUUGAACUUUUUUUUUUUGGUAUAUUUGAAUUACAUUUUUGCAAUUAAUAACUCCUUUGGUUACACAUGUAAUAAUACAAAAAAAAUGUUAUUUAUUAUAUAAUUAUGACAAUAAUUAGAUAUAAAAUAUAAAAUAAUUAAUUUAAAUUUAAAUUUAAAAUUAAAAAGAUAAGUAAUUUUAUUUUGUAAAAAAGUAAAACCUCUAUAGAUUAAACUAAAUUUUUUUUCCUCUUUUUUCAAACAAGUCAUGCGAGUAACGAAAACCAUGCUAAAACAAUAAUAUUAGCAUAACUGUUUCGGUUUUAAGAUGAUUACGUGAAUUUGAUAGGUUUUAUGAUUUACUUUUGGGUAAACUAUUAAAAUAGUCCCUUUUAUUUAUUUCAUAUUACAUUUUAGUUACUUAUGUUUGAAAUGUUACUUUUUAGUCACUUAUGUUAUCGUGUUGUAACAUUUUAGUUACUGAGCGUUAAUUGUCGUUAAUAGUGUAACAAUAAGCUGAUAUUACAUGUUAAAUCAUCAUUUCAAAUGAAAAUUUUAGGUUAAAUUAUACAAUUGGUCCCUAUAUUUUUUUUGUUUGAGCAAUUUAGUUUUUUUCGUUUAAGUUAAAAGAGAUGGAGAAGUGAGAAAAAUAGAGGGAAAAGAAGAAGAGAAUAGAAAAUAAAGGAAAAAAAAGAAAGUUAAAAGAAAAAUAAUUAAAUUGCUCAAGAUGAAAAAAAUAUGAGGACCAAUUGUGUAAUUUAAUCUAAAAUUUUUGUUUAAAAUGAUGAUUUAAUAUGCCAUGUCAGUUUACUGUUACACCGUUAAUGAUAGUUAAUGGCUCAGUGACUAAAAUGUUAUAGCAUGUUAACGUAAGUGACCAAAACGUAACAUUUCAAACAUAAAUGACUAAAAUGUAACCUGAGAGAAACAAAAGUGACUAUUUGAAUAGUUUACCCUUUACUUUUUUGAAUGAUGUUACCAUUUUAAUUGAUGAAACGCAAUAAAAAAAAUAUUUAAAUUGCUUUGAAAACACAUUCCAUUAUUUGUUAUAUUAUAUGCAUACUUUGCAUUUAUGUUUUCUUUGCAAAAUUGGUAUAUAGGAUAUUAGUCAACAAUGGUCUAAGAAACUUUAAAUGGUAUGUUUUUUUAUCCAAAUUCUCAUUUAAUUAAUUUGAUUUAUUCUAUUUAUACUAAUAAUUUCUAAAAUUUUAUAAGGUUUUGUUGAGUAAUAUUUUACUUCUUUCUUAUCGAAACGAGUAUCAAGGCAUUUAUACAUGUUGUUACUGGUACUAUUACAGCUCAUGAUAGGGUCCCACUAUUUUGUCUUAACUUUGUUGCCUUCAGUACUGUCAUUCUCUAUCCCUAAUAUUGACAUUUUCUGUGAGCUUUAGGUUUGCUGAGCAUGUGUCUACGAAGCACGCGGUCCUUUUUGCUCUUGGAACUAGCGUUCAGGGCGAGCUCCGUACUUGCUGGACGCAUGUCUGGGUGGCAUGUGGAGCACGUGGCACUUCUUGCGAGGUGAGAUUGUAGCCUUCCCUAGGUCCCCACAAGUUGGGUUUGUAACCUUAUCUUGCGAGCUGUACGUGCAAUCCUGCCCUAUGAGCUUGCUUAAGGUUCCUGCGAGCCGAGUCUAUAGUAUUGCCUUGCAAUUUGGUUCGCUUUGUUGUAGACAAUGCGAAUAAAGAAAGUCAUAUAGUAUCAAUUUUAAUAGCUCAGUGACUUAAAUGAAAAUAUUUUAAUAAUUCAGUGAUCAAAUUAUAACUUUUUUUAGUUAAGUUACCAAAACCAAAAGUUUACUAUAAUUUAGAUUAAUAAUGUAGUUUACCCAUUAAAAUAUUGUAUUGUUAUAUCCAACAGUGAACGAGUGAAAUGUCCGCUUAUUACUUUUCAGCUUGGCAAUCAUUGUUCAUUUAUGCUUUCUUGUCUUUUUUGCCAAAAUAAUUAUACUUGUAUUUCUGCUCCCAAUUAGAGUUGUGUAUAGGCGGAGUGAGCCACCUAAAAAAAUUAGGUCUGUUUUUAGACUCGAUCUAGAAAUUAGGUCUAAAAUUUUGUUUAAAUUCAAUUCAAAUAAAAAUAUUAAAAUCUAUAUUUAGUCAGUUCGUAUUAAAAUUUUUAUAUAAAAAUAAAUUUAUAAAAUAUAAUAUAAAAUUAAAAUAAUUACUUUUUUACAAAUGAAAAAAAUUAAAAAAAAACUUAAAUAUCUUUAAGAUAAGUAUAACUUAACGAGUAAAUACCUCUAAAAUAAUAGAAAAAAUUAAUAAUAAAAUAAGAGUUAUACAAUAUUCAAACAAUAACAAUAAUAUAAUAAUAAUAUAACAAUGAAAUAAUAGUAAAACAAUAGAAAAAACAAUGGUAAAACUGUAAAAAAAGUAGCAGUUUUUUUUUUUUUUUGUAAAUUUGGGCCAAGUUGGACUCGAGUUAAAAAAAACUUACCCAAGGCACAAUUCGUUUCGAAAAUGAGCCUUAUUUUUUUGUCCAAACUUAUUUUUUAAGCCUAUAUUCUUACAUAAACUCUCUCACUUUUCGAACGGACAUUCGAAUAUGUAUCUAAAUAAAUCUAGACUCCCAUCAUGACAAAAUUAAAUUAUAAAUAAUAAAUCUUUUCUGAAGAUAAUGAAUUAUAAGAAAAUAGAUUAGAGUGUGUAAGAUGGAGUAAGCCACUUAUUAACUAUUGUAACAAUAAGUAACUCAUUUAUAAUUUGAGAAGCAACCAUAGGAUUGCAACAUUUUCAAUAAUUGUUGGUUUUAUAAUUCUUAUUUGGAUAAAAUAUAUUCCCAGUUUUUAUAUUCUUUUUAUAUUUGAGUUUUGGUACCUUUACUUUUAUUUUUAAUUUUUUUUUACUUUUUCAAAUUUUAAAAAAAAAAGUUAGAUUCAAUUGUUAAUAUCAUUAUUAUUAUUUUGUUAAAUUUGUUUGUGAGGUAUUUUGAAAUAAAUAAAAUUUACUUAAUAGCCAUGUAAUAAAAAGAAUGGUAAACUAUCAAAAUAAUCACUUUUAUUUACCUCAGGUUAUAUUUUAGUCACUUAUAUUUGAAAUAUUACAUUUUAGUCACUUACGUUAUCGCGUUGUAACAUUUUAGGCACUGAGCAGUUAAUUGUCGUUAACGGUGUAAUGGUAAGCUGAUAUGACACGUUAAACCAUCAUUUCAAACAAAAAAUUUAGGUUAAUUUAUACAACCGGUCCCCAUAGUUUUUCGUAUUGAGCAAAUUAAAAAUUUCCUUUUAUAUCCUUUUAACUUUCUUUUUUUAUUUUAUUUUCCAUUCUCUUCUUCUUCUUACUCAGUUUUCUUCCUUUCUUCAUUUCUUUUAACAUAGUUUUUUUAUGAUUUUCAUUUGUUAAAACUAAUCCCUAUACUUUUAUUUUUUUGAACAAUUUAAUUUUUCGAGUGAGGCGAGCUUGUGAACUAGUUUUAAAAAGUGCAAAACAUAGAAAAACUACGUUAAAAGAAAUGAAGAAGGGAAGAAAACAGAGGGGGAAGCAGAAGAGAAUGGAAAAAAAAAAGAAAGUUUAAAGAACAUAAAAGAACAAAAAUAUUUUUCUCAAAAUGGAUAAAUAUAGGGAUAAAUUGUAGAAUUUAACCUAAAAUACUCGUUUAAAAUGAUGAUUUAACAUGCUACAUCAGCUUACCAUUACACGGUUAACAACAAUUAACAACUUAGUGACUAAAAUGUUACAACACGAUAAAGUAGGUGACUAAAACAUAACAUUUCAAACAUAAGUAACUAAAAUGUAACCCGAGACAAAUAAAAGUGACUAUUUUAGAAGUUUACCCUAAAAAGAAUGAUAUUAUAGUAGACAUGAAUUUAACAGAAAAGAAAUUAACAGUAUUAACAAGUGAGCUUGCAAUUUUAAAUUUGAAAAGUAGAGGGACUAAAUUCCUAAAAUAAAAAUAGAAGAAUUAAAUUUCAAAUAUAUAACGAGUACAAAGGCUUGGGAGCAAAUUUUAACAAUCUUAUUUCUUACCUAUAACUUUCAAGUUUUCAUUUAAUUUUUUGUGCAAGAAGUUUUUUUUUUUUUACAAUAUUUAAAACUACUCAUAAUUCUUCCUAACCCCUUAAAUAGGAGAAUAAACGUACUUGAGCGCAUUUGAACUCACGUCUUCUUAAACUGACAAUAAUGUCGAUGGCAAUUGAACUAAAACUCAUUCGACUUGUCUAGCAAAAUAUUAUUGUAAGUGUUUCCCUCCAAAGUUAGAACAAUAUAAUUUAGAGAUAAAAUAUGUUAAUAUUAUAUAUACUUUUUAGAAUUAUUUUUGAAUUUAAAGUUAUAUAAAAAAUUAAAAUUUGAGGUUUCCAAAUUAAUUUCAUAUAAUCAAUUUAGAGAUAUUAACUCAAUUAAAAAUAAAUAGAAUUAAUUGGUUUUAAUAAAAUCAAAUCAAGUAUUUACCAAAAAGUCUCUUAUUUGCUCAUAUCCAUAUAACAUAAAAUAAAUUAUUAAUCAUUUAUUUCAAAGUGAAAUUAAAUAAAUGGGAUAAAUUUUAAAAUUGUACAUGAAUUUUGGUUCAAUAUGUAGUAUUAUAUUUGAAAUUUGAUUUUGUACAAUUUUAUACUAAUUUUUUUUAAUUUAAUUCAAUUUUUAUAAAUUACUAAGAUUAUUAACGAUAUAUCGUAUUGAAAUAAUUUAGAGAGGUUUACUUUAUAAAAGAAAUACAUGAAAUUAUCAUAAUCAAAUCAAAUUAAGAAUUGGCUAAAUUUAUUUGUUAGUCACUGUACUUUAUGAAAGUUGUAGAUUUAGUCUAUGUAUUUUAAUUUGAUCAAUUGUAGUCCUUGUACUUUUUGAAUUUUGAAAUUUUAGUCUUGAUCCAAACAAUAGCAGUUAAAGUCAUUUGUUUGAAUUCAAUUAUUAAUCUUGUACUAUGCAUACAACUGUAGACUAGUCCAUAUUCUCCGACUAGAUCAUUCUAAGUCCUUAUGCUUUUCAUAUUUUGAAACUUCAAUCUUGACCUAAAUAAUAGUCGCUAAUCUAUUAACUGAAUUUUUAGUGAGUAAUAUGUGGAAAUAACAAGCUGACGUAGCAUACACAUGACAAUUUGUUUGUUGUAUCAAAUUUUAAAAAUAACAGAACUUAAUGAAUUUAACAAUUAUCAUUUAAUGAGGAUCAAAAUUUUAAAAUUCAAAAAUUAUAGGGACUAAAAAUGACCAAAUUAAAGUACAGAGACUAAAUCCACAACUUUCAUAAAGUAAGGAACUAAUAGCAUGAUUUAACCUUAAGAAAUUAUAAAAAAGAUUAAUCUCCUAUUUGUCCACGAACAUGUAAAAUAAAAUAAAUGUAUAAUGUAACAACCCGCUUUUCAGUAGUAUCAGAAACAGUGGUUUUAGGAUCAUAAAUCCUACAAGUAAGCCCGUAAUAAUUAUUAAUUAACUUAUAUGAGUCAAUUAUAGUUUUAUAUUAAAAUUUGAAUUUGACAAAUUCUAGUUUAUGAACAAAUAGAUAAAGACAAGUGGUUUGUUUCAAAAGUCGAGUGAUUUUUGAAAAUGAGGUGUUGGGAUAUCGUUUCUAUAAACCAAAUCCGUAAAUAUUUAAUAUAAAUAUUUACGAAGUAUUUAUUUAGGUGUAUCGAAGUUUGUUCCGGAAAUUUUCGUGAUUUGAUAAUUAAUUGAGUAAAAAAGACUAAAUUGUAAAGGUUGCAAAAGUAAGCUAUUAUUAGAUUAUUUGUGCUAAAUGGAUUAAAUGUUAUUAUUGCAAGUGUUAAUAUGGAAAAUUUCCACUUUUAAAAGAUAGUGGCGGUUGGUGUAAGAAUUUUUAAGUAAAAUAUUUUAAUUAUAAUAUUAAAAUAUAUGUUAAAAGUAAAAUAAAACUUAAGUAAAAUAAAAUAAAAUAAAAUACUAUCAUCUUCCCAAAAUGCUAGAACCACCGAAAAUGGAAGAGUAAAAACACCAUUCUCAAGCUAAACAUUCGGCCUUAAUAAACCAUUGCAUGCAAGUGGCUUUCUCAAUUAUUUCUUGUAAUUUUUACGUUUUUGAGAUCGUUACAACUAGGUCCAGUUAACUCGUACUUCUGUUUUCGAAACUGUUAAAGAUUUUAGAUUUUUCCGUUAAUGAAUUUUUGUUAUUCUUGAUGUUAAGUGAUGAAUUUGAAGUGUUGAUUAGGACUGUUUUGUAAAGUGAUUUUUGAUAGUUUUUAGUUAAAGGACUAAUUUGAUAAAAUGUUAAAAAUAUACAUGAAAUUUUUGUGAAAUUUCAAUGAAUAUGGACUGUCCUAGUUUGUGAAUAAAUUUGUGAAUAAAUUCGGCUAGAAUGGAAAAUUGUAAAAUUUUGUUAAUUUUGGAAUUUCGGGUUUAGGGGCUAAAUUACAAAAAAGGUAAAAUAUUAGGGGUAAUUUUAUAAUUUUUAUGAAAAUAUUAAAUUGUGUAAAUCUGAUUAUAUAAGUGUUGAAAUUUACUUAAUUGAAUAAAAUUAUUAUAUAUAGAUCGAGAAACGAAACAAUUAGAGUUAGAUCGAGGAUAAACUAAGAUAUUAGAUUAAUUCUCGAUUUCGUUUUUACAAUUGUAUUUGUCGAGGUAAGGUCAUCUACACUUAUCUCCCUUGAAUAUUUCUCUGGAGUUGGUGAAGAGUAGAGGCGUUCAUAUGCUGGGAUGAAUUCGGAUCUAGGUAAGAUAUUAGCACACUUUAUAUCUGCCCAAGUCCAUCCAUAUUUGCAAAUAGUUAAUCAAAACCUAUAUUAAGCACCAAUAUAUAUAUACACACAAAAGAGGGGCUGGUCGUUCUGUAUUUGUUUCCUUUUUAAAAAUUAUUUUCGCUUUGUAUUUUUGGCUCAACAAAGAGGGGCUGGUCGUCUUAAUAAAAAAAUGAUCGCGUGCAUUUGUUGUUUAAAAUACUUUAUAUUUUAUCAAAUAAUAAAACAAACUUUAAAUAUAAACAUAAAGGAAUCAUUUAAAUCGGAAAAAAAAGAGAGAAUUUUUAUGAGAGAACCAAUGAGAAAAACGUUUUCCUAAUAUUCUUUAGCACAUGCAGUUGCCUGGAAAAAAACAAACAUUUAUUUAAAAUAAUUGAAGGGUUGAAUUACAGAUUAAGCAUAAUGGAAAGUUAGUAAAGUAGAAAACUUUAAAUGGUGGGACAGAGUUGCCUGACCUCAAUCAUUAUCAAUAUUAAUGUAAUAACAGAAUAUAUACUUACAAUUUGUUCCUACUUCUUCUUUCAUACUAAUUUAUAAAACCCCAGAUUUAUAUUACUGUAAAGGAUGUAUUUUUAGUCUUUGAUCCUAAUUGAGUACUGAUGUUGUUUCUGGCGGUGCUCUUGUUUUUGCUUCAGCAAAUUCUCACUUGUGCACAAAUUUAUAUCCCUGCUGAUAAUAUUGCUCUAGAUUGUGGUUCUUCAACUUCAGGCAAUUCUACAGCACCAGAUGGUCGUGAAUGGACCGGAGAUAACAUGUCGUGGUUCGCCGAGUCCGGUAGCCAAUCAGUGUCGGCCAGUGUCGAAAAGCAUAACAGCUCUUUCCAUGUUGUGCCUUACAUGACUGCUAGAAUAUCUAAAUCCGAAUUCACCUACAUGUUCCCAGUUACUGCUGGUCAAAAAUUUAUCAGGCUCUAUUUCAAUCCUGCUCGGUACAAUGGCUUUGACACCUCUGUCUAUUUUUUCUCUGUCAAGGUAGGCCCUUAUACACUGCUCAAUAACUUCACUGCUUCCAUUACUGCCGAUCGUUCGAGGAAAGGGUCGUCGAUUAGAGAGUUCUGUGUAAGCUUGAUGCAGAAUCAAACACUCAAUGUAACUUUUACUCCCUCUUUGGAGGGUUCUUAUGCUUUUGUCAAUGGAAUCGAAAUCGUCUCGAUGCCUACUAAUCUCUAUUACUCGACUUCAGAUCAUCACGGCAUUAAGUUCAUCGGUCUUGGCACACGUUUCUGGAUUGAUAACUAUACUGCACUCGAGAAUGUUCAUCGUUUAAACGUUGGGGGCCCAUCAAUCACCGCUGCAGAUGAUACUGGCAUGUACCGAAACUGGUACAAUGACAUUGAUAAUCUGAUAGAAGCUGGUGUUGUUCCUAGUAAUACUAGUCUUGAACUCGACUAUUCUAACAUACAUGAGUACACAGCUCCUGCUAAUGUAUAUGAAACAGCUAGAUCAAUGGGAAACAACAGAACAGAGAACUUGUUGUACAAUUUGACAUGGAGUUUACCGGUUGAUUCGGGAUUCAGGUACCUUGUUAGACUCCAUUUCUGUGAAUUUGAUCCGGCCCCAGAAAAGACGAGUGAUAGGCGAUUCCGGAUCUUUAUCGAUAACAAGACCGCAGAGCCAGCAUUCGAUGUGAUCGAAACUGCUGGUGGUAAAGAUAAACCAAUCUAUCAUGACUAUAUGGUUAUGAUUGGAAACAUUGGUGAUAUUAAGAGUGAAUAUUCCCUCUUUAUAGCUUUGCAUCCUAAUAAAGAAUUCAGUGCUUAUGCAGACGCGCUUCUGAAUGGAAUAGAAGUCUUUAAGUUGAAUAACUCCGAUGGCAAUCUUGGCAGACCAAAUCCCGAGCCCAAGUUACCAGAAAAAGGCACCGAGAAAAAGAGUUCAAAAGACACGAAGAGGAAAUUGCUUAUUUUUAUCGGUGUUGGUGGUAUAGGCUUGUUGAUUGUGCUUGUGUUAGUAUGCUCCAUCAUUUGGCGACAUAGAAAGAUGAAGCAGUAUGGUUCACACUAUAAACCAUCAUGUUUUUGCUGCUUGCUGGAUCGUUCCAAAGGGAAAUCAUUUGUCGGGGCGAAAACCUCAUCGCUGCCUGAUGAAUUGUGUCGUCGGUUUUCACUAGAUGAGAUCAAAGCUGCCACUAGCGACUUCAAUCAAGAUUUGAUUAUCGGGGUAGGCGGUUUCGGCAAUGUUUACAAAGGUUUCCUGGAUAAUGGUGAAACAAUAGUGGCCAUCAAACGCUUGAAUCCAGAGUCGAAACAAGGUGCAAGAGAGUUCAAGACCGAGAUCGAGAUGCUAUCCCAGCUUCGUCACAUUCACUUGGUCUCUUUGGUGGGAUAUUGCAACGACAACAACGAGAUGAUCCUUGUGUACGAUUACAUGAUCAACGGCACUCUCCGCGAUCACCUUUACGACACUACCAACGAACCUCUAACAUGGAAACAAAGGCUCAAGAUAUGCCAUGGGGCAGCAAUCGGAUUGAACUACCUUCAUACAGAGGUGAAGUAUACUGUGAUUCACCGUGACGUUAAGACCAGCAACAUUCUCCUAGACCAUAAAUUCACUGCAAAAGUCGCGGAUUUUGGCUUGUCGAAACUUGAUCCGAAGCUCGACAUGCUCAAUACCGGUGUAAAGGGCACAUGGGGAUACUUGGAUCCCGAAUACGCUCGCGGUCAUACAUUGACCCAAAAAUCCGAUGUAUACUCGUUCGGUGUAGUACUACUCGAAGUUUUAUGUGCAAGGAAAGCUCUGGACAAGAGAGUAUCAAUGGAACAAAUGAACUUAGCUCAUUGGGUUAGAAAAUGCAUUGCUGAUGGGACACUUCAUCAAGCCAUAGAUCCAAAGCUGAAGGGAAAGAUAGCUCCACAGUGUUUAAAGGUGUUUGUUGAAAUUGCUGAAAGUUGCAUACAAGAAAUGGGAGUGAAGCGGCCAUUCAUGAAUGAUGUGAUGGAAAGGCUAGGAUUUGCAUUGGAGCUUCAAGAAGCUGCUGAUGCUGAGUUAGUGAAGAGUAAUCAUGGCGAUGAUCAUUGCUAUCCGGACAUCAUUUUUCCGGUCAAUCCCUGCGAUGAUGUCGAUUUCGAAGCUUCAGAUUCUGAUGUUAUUGCAGUUCAUAAUCCCAUUCAUGAUUCUGGGUCUUUUCUAUCUUCUGAUGUAUCAAACACCAGUAAUGCAUAAGGAUUUUGAUUUUAUGUAUAAAUUUGAGUCGCUAAUAUCUGUACUUUGAUAAGAUUCGAGAUUUAGUCUUUAAGUGUUUUUUUAUUUAAAAUAUAAGUUUAAUCAUUAAAAUCGUAAAUAAUUUUUGUCAAAAUUGGUUAACUUGAAAUUUUAAUUAAGAUAUCCUCAUAUGAUGUAUAAUUUACAGAAAAUAAGCAUAUUAAAUUGGCAAUUCUUGAAAACUACUAAUGAUGAUGUUGAUAAUUAUUACACUAAUAUUUUUAAUUUGAAAAAAAAUAAGAGUAUUGAAUUUUUAACUUGUAAAAUAUAUGGAUUAAUAUUAAAUUUUAUAUAAGUAUAGGGACUAACAACACAUUUUUAACAUGUGGUUUUUGACUUCAUAAUUGUGUCUUUUUAUUAUUUGCUAUAAUAUGUAUUUUCAAAAUAUUUGUUUUGGAGGUUACUUCAACACUGUCAGGUGUCAAGUUCAAGAUAAUAUCAAAUCAUCACAAGAGUGAAUGUUAUUCAUGUCACAAGUCAUCGAUUGCAAAAUAUAGUUAACACAACUUUAACUCACAUUGAUAUCGAGUUUAAAGUUAUAAAAUUUGUGUUGCAAAUUUAUUUGCUCGUUGGCUCAACCAACCCAUUUAAUAUAUAGAAAGUGACAAUUAUGAGAGUCAAAAUUCGCUUCUCUAUAUACCUCGGCUCAUUUCCCUUCUCUUCCCACUAAAUAUUUUCUCAAACUUUCAAAACUCUUUAGAAAACCCUUAUUAUUUUCAAAAAUUUUUUGGGAGAAAAAGUGAUCAUUUUAGGUUUUAGGAAGAACAUGUAACAAAUCAUGUUGUCAAUAUAGUAAACAGGGGUGAAGUCAGAAUUUUGUUUAGGGGGGUCGAAAUUAAAUUGUAAUUUUUACGAUAGUAAAAAUACAAUUUCACCAUUUUAAUAGUCUAUAUAUUUAUAAUUUUUAAAGAAUUAAAUCAAAUUUUUAUCAUUUUAGGGGGCCAAAGUGCACUUUUACCUUUACUAAUUUAAAAUUUUAAAGGGCCUAAAUAGAAAAUUUUUCAUUUUAAGAGAAUCGGGCUCCCUUUCAGCCCCCUAACUACGCCCUUGAUAGUAAAAGUUCUAACUUAUUUUUAAAAUUUUUUUGUUAUAUUUAUAGAAAUAUUUUUAAGAUUUUACAAAUUUAAAUAUGUUUUUUGUGGCAUUUCGAACAACAAAAAUACUGAGUUGUUCGUGCUCGACGUAAUUUAAAAUUCCCAAAGCUCAAUUGACACAUUACAGACCAUUUAAAAAGUGUUGAUGAUAAGUGUUAAAAGUAAUAUAUUUUAACCUCAUUCUUAAUUCGUUUUUUGGUGAUUAUUCGAUGUUAAUUGUAAAUUUUACGCUCUUAAUCCUUUAAAAUCGUCUUUUAAUGCUUAAUAGAGCACUUGGGAGCAAAAAGAGUAAAAAACGAGCGAAAAUUGGAGUUUUGAAGCAAGUUAUGAGAGCCAUAUGGGUUGAACCAUUCCAAAUAGCCAGACCACACGGUCGUGUCGAUUUCACGGAAUUACACACCGAAUAGCGGAAAAUCAUGAUUUUUAGGUUUUUCGAGCAUUCUAAUAUGUAUAUAUGACAAAAAUAAGAAGAUAGGAGGGAGCCGUUAGAGAAUAUUCAAGAAAAUAACUCGAAAAAUACCAUUAAAGCCAACUCUAAAGCAGAUUUCCAUCAAGAUUGAAGAUUCGUAAUUGAUUUAUUAGGAAUUUAUCAUGAGUUUCUUUAUUUCUUUUUGUUAUAUUGUCUCUUGGAUGUUUUUAUUUUCAAGUAUGAACUAAUUUUCUAAAUACAUAGAGAAGAUAAACCCUAUGAUAGAUUUUGUCAUUUGCCUUUUAUUUUAUUUCACAGUAACGCGACCCACUUGCCUAUUCGACACUAUUGUUCUAGACCCUUGUAUGAUAUUAGUGAGGUAUCCGAUCAUGUCGACACCCCUCCAUCAUAAUGUAUAAUUUAUGAUUAUGAUGAUGAAAAUAACAAUAAAAAAAUCUAAAAUUUACUUAAUCUGAGUCGAACACACCUCAACUUCUCUAUCGAUUGCAUCAUUUUUAUUUCAUUAUAUAAUAAACAUUAAAAAUUAAAAAUUCCAUACAAUCAAGACAUUGAAGAUACCAACUAACAAGCUACAAAUUAACAAAUCAUAAAUAAAUGGCAGCAUAACAAAAAGAGCAUCACAUUAUUGACUUCUUAUUUUUAUUUGACCUCCACAUGGCCAACAUGUCCUUUUUCUUUACAUUUUAUACACUUAUCGAAUUUCACUUUAUAAAUAAAAAAUACUAAAGGACAUUUUUAAGAAUAUCAAUGGUCAUUACUAUAGAAGAAUUUAAAUUUAGUCCUUCAAUCUUUAUAUUUAAGAAUUUUAAUUUUUUUACUUUAUAAAUUUCAAAAUUCAAGUAAUUAUUUACCUUAUUAAAAUUAUUUUAUAAAUUCAAGUUCGACGUAAUUUUUUUUAUGUUCAUUGCUAUCAAGUGAGUUUUUUUUUUAAUUUCAAAAUGUUAUACCAAAAAAUUUAACAAUAUUAACAAUUGGACCUGAAUUUUACAAUUUGAAGAAUAGAGAGACUAAAUUCUUAAAAAAUAAAAGUAUAAUGACUAAAUUCCAAAUAUGUAAAGAGUGUAGUGAUCUAUGACAAAUUUUUAACCUUAAAUUAUAUAUAAAUUAUUUAGGAUUACAUUUUUGAAAUACAUAAAAAUAUGAAAAUUAAAUUCAUUACUAAACAAGUAAUUAAAAAAAAUAGUUAAUAGAUAGGGAGAAUAUUUGUUACACCAUCAGUGCAUGAGUUUUCUACAUCAUCGGUAAAUAAUAAUAUGACAAUAAAUACAUACUAAUAAAAUUAUUUAAACAUAAUUAAUUAAUUAAUUAUAAACCUCAGUAAUAUUUAUUUAUAAUUAAUAUUUAAUUAUUCUUAAAUAAAAUGGUUGAUAUUAACAAAUUUUAAUGAAUAUUUUAUUUAAUAUUUAAUAUUUCAAAAUAUACCAAACAAUUUAAAAAAAAUUCAAACCCAAUUGUAGCGACCUAAAAUUUGGGCACGGGCGCUAGUCGAAGUGAUUAUGGAAAAUUUAAAAGCAGAGUCUCGAUUUUAUUUUAAAAAGGAGUCGCCACCGAUCUUUUUUCUAGGUGUGAUCGGACACCUAAUAAAUUCUCUUUUUUAAAGGAAACAUUAUUUUUCAAAUUUUCUAAAAAAAGAGAGUCAAUUUUAGGUCCACGUCAAAUUCUAGAGAAAAUUAGGGUUCGGGAGUCGGUUACGCGUGAGGAAGGUAUUAGCACCCUCGUGACGCCCAAAAUUGGCAUCUUUUUAAACACGUGUUGUCUUAAUUUUCAAAAAUACGAGUUCAAAUUAAUAUUUAAUCGUGAUCCGAUUGAAACACGGGAAUUUCUUGUUUUGAAAACACGAGAAUUUUGAGACAAUAUUUUUUUGAAACAAGAGAUUUUUUUGAAAACACGAGGAUUUUUUUUAAAAAAACAAGAAGAUUUGUGAAACACGAGAAUUUUUGAAUACGAGGAUUUUUUGAAGACACAAAAAACACAAUUUUUUUUCUAAAACAUGAGAAUUUUUAAGUUUUUCAAUUUUUAAAAGGGUGUCCCGAAUUUAACACGAGCUAAAUAUAUUCAUCCAACAUAGCGAUGAAAAUAUACGGCUUAAUGUUAAAUCGGUUCGUCGCCUUAUUUAUGAAAAUUAAAAUUAAAAAUAAUAAAUUAAAUACUAAAUAUAUAAAAAUGUUAAAAAAAUAUCGGGAAUAUUAAACAUGAAAUGUGAUAAAAAUACAUAAAUUAAAUUUAAAGUGGGUAAAAAAUUACCGAAAAGCCCAAAAAUACGAGCUUGAUUGACAGGGAUACACGACUUGGCUUUUUUCUUUUUUUUUUUCUCUUUGUUUUUUCUGGCUUGCUGCCUCUGGGCCUGGGACUGGUGGGACUGUUGGGCUGCUGCGCUGCUGGGCUACACUGCUAUUGGGCCAAUCUGCUGGCCUGCUUUUUCUUUCUGCUGGGCUGCUGGAAUGCCCUGCUGCUGGUGGCCUGCUAUUUUUUCUGCUGCUUUUUUUGGCUGUUAUUGGGCUGUUGCGGAAAUGGGCUGCUGGGGGCUGCUGUUGCCUGCUGUUUGGGUCGGGUCCAGAUCGGGUCGGGUCGACCCGACUAUUCAAAAAAUAUUUUUAAAUUUUUUUCUUCUUCUUCUUUUUCUUUUUCUUUUUCUUUCUUCUUCUUCUUUCUUUCUUUCUCUUUUUCCCUCUUCACCCUAGCUUGCACCGCCGCCUCUUUCACACCGCCGCUGCCGUCUCCGCCGCUUGGCCGCCGUCGGACCCUCUCCUCUUCUCCUCUUUCUUUUCUUUCCUCUUUCUUUUGCUGCUGAAACUUUUUUUUUGGUAAUUGGGGUUCCCGAUUUUUGGGGUUUUAAGCCCAAUUUAUAGCUAAUUUUCUUGCCCUUUUUGCAGGGAUUAGGUGGCUAGGGGAGAGGGAGGCCAUGCCUUAGGCCGGUGGCCGGAAAUCACGGGGUAGGUGUGCAAGUUGCUGCCAGAAGGACCAAAAUGUAGACGUAGCAAAAGUUUUGGGACCGAAACAUAAUUUUGAGAAAGUUUAGGGGUCAAAAUGUAAUUUCAAAAAAUUUAGGGGUUAAAAUAUAAUUUAAAAAAUUUAGGGGUAAAAAUGUAAUUUUAAGAAAGUUUAGAGGUCAAAAUGCAAUUUUUAAAAAUUGAGGGGUCAAAAUACAAAUUUUAAAAAAAUAAAAUCGAACCGGACAAAAUUCAGUGCUUACACCAAUACUUAUUAAAUUCCAUAUUAAAAAAAUUAAUAUUUUAUUUUUAGCACUUAUAUAUAUAUUUUUCAGUUAUCAAACAUCGUCUAAUCCAAUUAGGAAGUCACCUAAAAACCAAACCAUUAUAAAUUUGUAAGUUCAUAACAAUAAUUUUAUUUUUCAAAAAUAAAAUACUAUUAAAUCAUUAAUUCCCCUUUUCUUUAAAUAUUUUUAUGUUCAUUUUACGGUUUAGAAUUUGUACCCGUCCCUCCGGCAAUAUUAUUUUCAAGAUUCAAGCAUGCAUUCUUUUCUUAAAAAUGAAAUAUGUGUUUACUAUCACACCAACAUUUAUAAGUAAUCCACUUCUUGUAUUUAAAGUGAUUUGGGUAUAUACUCCAAUGAUACUAUUGUUCCGUACCCUUAUGGAAGAAUAUUCGGAUAAAAUAUGCACUUUCUCGGGAAUGAAAAAAAAUCGAUCUACUUUCAUUCGAUAUUUUGGCUUAACCUUUUUGACUCCUCGAUACUCAAUCACAUCCUCCCUUUUAACGAUUGAAUGCGUCCCUAGAGUCUCAUAUUUAGUAAUUCCCGAACUCUUUCUUUUGUAUCGAGGAUUGUCAAAAAAAGCAAGAAUACUUUUUCUAUAGAAAAUACCAUUCAUGGGUAUUUCCAUCGAGAUACCGGAAUGAAAAUACAACAUUAGUUCAUUUUCUUAGUCUUAAAUAAAUUGAAAUGGAAUAAUAAAUCUAUUUCUUCGUCUCUUUACCAAUAAAUCAGCAUUCUCAGGGAGAAUAGUUUCUAAAAUAAUGUAAAUAUAUUAUUUUACUUCUUUAUAUUUUCUUUUAUUUUGUGAUCUAUAUUGUGUAAAUAUUUAAUUAUUUAUAAUGUAGUUAUAAAAAAAAAACAUAUGUAUAAGGUGUCCAUUCAACUUGUAAUAUAUAUUAGAAAUGCAGCACUUCCUUUUUUUAAUUAAUUGGUCUACAUAUAUUUAAUUUUCGAUUAAAUUUUGUAAUAUAUAUUAAAAUUUUCUAUACUUUUCCUUCCUUUUAUUUAUUUAAAAUUUAGUCUUUCUACUUUUCGAAUUUAUUAUUUUCGAUCUUUCUAUUAACUCUAUUUAAGAAUUAAGUAUAAUUACAAAUUUAACCCCUCAAUCUUUAUAACAUUAUCGAUUUGACCCCUACUUUUUUUAUUUUAUAAAAACUAUAAAAAUUAUAAAAAAUGUAUUAAAAGUUGAAAAAAUAUAGAAUAAUUAUAAAAUUAUAAAAUUUUCCAAAUGUGUCAAAAGAUUAAAGAUAGAAAAAAAAUAGAACUUACUGUUAAUCACUACCAGAUAUUUUAACUUGCAAUUUUUGUUUAGAAACAAUAAAUACUAUGUUGUACUAAAAAAAUAUCAUGUAUAUUUAACCAAAACCAUUAGAAAUUUAAUGUUGAUAAAUUUAAAUGUUUGUAAAUGAUGUUGUAGCUAGUCCCUCUGAUAAGGGGCAAACAGAAGUAGAUCGUAUUCAAAUUGUUUGAUCUGAGAAAAAAGAUUCAGGUCUGACCUAAAAAGAAGAAACCAAACAGAUUUAGGAAAACAGAAAAGACAAAGAAAAUAACAAAAAUAAAAAAAAUUAAGAAUAAAGAAUAAAUAUUCAAAAUAAUAAAUAACUAAAGAAAUGAUAGAAUAAAAAGUGCAAGAUGGAUCGGAUAAAUCGAUGGAUAUGACAAAUAGUGUAACAACCCGAAAGUCAGGGGUGUUGAAAACAGUGGUUUCGGAAUCCCAUUUCCGAUGAUCGAGUCCGUAAAUAUUAUUAUUUAAUAUUUAUGAGAUUAUUAUAAAUUUUAAUUGAAUUUUGUUCCAUUAAUUUUGUUAAUCGAAUAGUUAAUUAACGUACAAUGACUAAAUUGUAAAAGUGAUAAAAUUUAAUCACUAUAGAUUUUAAAUAAGUAAGGGAUCAAAAUAGUGAAUAUACCAUUUACAAAUGUCCAAGUGGUCAUGGAUGUCAUUAAAUUCCAUUGACACACCCCAAAAUAUUUGAGAUUAGUUGUAAUGAUUAAGCAAGAAUUAAGCCUUAGGCUUGAUAAAAAAUAACUUGUACAUUCUUUAGAGAUCUUAAGUUCAAAGCACAUCUCUUCCAUUUUUCAUUUUUAAAUUUUCUACAACCUAGGAUUAAAACCAUAUCAGAAUAAAUAUUAUUUGGAGUAGAAAUUUAUCAAGAGAUGGGCAGUAGCUUAAUAGUUGAGCACUUGCUUUUUCCUCUUGCACAACCAAUUCAAACCACCCCAUUCCCAAGUCAUUUUCAUUUUAUUUCGACAAAAUAGGGGAAAUUACCAAGUAGUCCAUCAAAUUUGAAAACUCUAGCUAUUUAGUCUCUUUUCCCUAAUUACAUUAGGAUUAUGUUUAUUUUUUCAUUCCAAUUAGAAUUUAUCUUCUCUCUCCCUAUUUCUUUUCAUAUUUCUUUUUCAUCCUCUUCUUUGCAUUAAAUUUUCUCUCCAUUACUGAAAUUAUUUUGCUCUCGAUAUCAAAUCAAUCCCCGAAAAAUCGAUUCUCUACCGAUUGUUGAAUUUAUCGUUGGUAACCUUCAUAAUUCCAUCAUGUUCGGUAUGUACAUCUCAUUCUAAAAAUUAGACCCCAAAUUUCAUAGAAUUUCUAUCCGAAAUUAAUCUUUCAAAUCAAUUAGUCAAUCUAUAAUGGUUCUUGACAAAUCUUUCAUUAAUAUCAUUGAAUCAUGAUAAAUUUUGGAAAACAAACGUUAACCUGUGUGAAAUUGUCGUUUAAAGGACCUGUUUUAGGUGCAACGGAUCAGAUUUGAGCACGAGAAAUGUCGUUCGAGAUCUCGGUGACAGGUGUGUGUUCUUUUACAAGCAAAUCGGGGCAAUUCGUGUCUCAGGCAUGUGGACCACACCAUCAUGUCCCCCUAAAGCCUUAAGAAUUUUAAAUCUCUCACACAACCAAAGUCUUCCACACGGCCUGCCACACAGUUGUGUUUCCCUUGUACCUUGAUUUUGAAAUUAACACACGACCUAGCCACACGAUAAUUGAAUGAUCCAUUUAGCCACACGACCUAGUCAAAUUUUACAGUUUUAACCAUAAUUUUAUGUUUUGAUCCAUUUAGUCCUUAAAUGAUCCUUGAACUGUUUUAGUGUUUGAUUUUAUUCAAUUAUAUGUAGCAGUGUGUAGCGGUGGGGUAGAACCUUUUCUGAUAAUUGAAAUUGCAUUGCAUUCAUAAGCAUAUGCAUAGUGGUGAACAUUGAGAUAUUGUGACAAUGAGAUGAAUUGAAAAAUCAAUAUUCUGAAAUUACUAUUGUGAAUUCUGUGAUACUAUUAAUGAUUAGUUGAAAAAUCGAUUAUCUGAUUUGCUAUUUGAUUGCGAUUAUACUAUGUGUUAUUAUCUAAUAUGACCUAUUGACUGUUUCCACUGAUCUUCUCAUGAUUGAACUCACACUGAGCUAUAUAUCUCACUCCCUUUUAUUCUCCAUCUUUACAAAUAACUCAUCAGGUUAGGACGCAGAUACGACAUUCGGAGGGACUCGACUUGAUUUUGUCUAUCAUAAUAUUUUAGAUUUAUUAUUUGAAAAUUUUUAUUAUCCAGAAAGUGUAAUAUUUUAUUUAAAUUGUGGCAUGGGACUUAAGUUUUUUUGGGGAUUAUUCAGCAUGCAUGACCCUUAAUUAUGAUUAGGUUGUUAAAAUUAAGGAAUUUAAUUAUCAUUUCAUGAGAUACAACUUCUAUUAAACCUAAGAUUUAGAUAUCAAUUUAUUCGCUAAAAGAUCAUGAUUGAAAGAUCCUUAUUGUAUACUAUUUACGAAAGCAAUUCAUCCAACUGUUUUACCACUGACCUUGUCAUAUGUGUGUUACCCUCAUAUGAUAUCAUUAAUUUCAUGUAGUUAAAUUUGUUCACUCAAUACGUCUUCUUAAUGAGUAAUAUGAUCAUUGUUAGCAAGCGAAUGUGAUAAAUUGCUCGUUCUCAAACGAGUAACUCGUGGUCACGUUCCAUAUUUAUCAAUCCACACAAUGCCAAUGAGAGGAUACCAUUAACUCUUUAAUCGAGUUAUGAAUUUCAUUGUUGCUAGUAAAGCCAUUCCAUACACAAGUCAUGUGCCCAACAUACCGUCUAUGGGCUCGAUCAUUUUUAAAGCACAAGCCUCCACUUAUAUCAAAGCACAUGAGUUACAUACGCAUGGUUAGUAACUAACUCAGGAUUUAGGUAAAUCACAUUAUGAACGUCACAAGUGAAUUAAUUCACAAAUGGAUUCAGAAUUAAUUCAACUUGGAUUCAGUUCGAUAUAUCAUUCUUCCAAUGAGUACAUCUAUGUUUUUACCCGUGGAGUCAACUACUCUGAUAGACAAUACUAGCUAUCUCUACAAUUGGAAUUGUAGACGACAUAAUAAUCCUUCUAAGUAUUUGAAUAAAAUGCUCAUUUUGAUUCUUUUAUGGGAUUACGGGUUCGUUUAGAUUAUCUACUGAAAGGGUCCGUUUGAUUGCCAGUAAAAUGUUUUCCGUAAAAUGAUUUCUGAAAAAUAUUUUACUUUUCUGUAAAAUGAUUUACUGGAAAAUAUUUUCUGGUGUUUGAUUGAAUCUGUGUAAAAUAUUUUCUGCUGUUUGGCAGAUUUCCUGAAAAUAUUUUCCGGAAAAAUUGUUUUUACAUAUAUUAAUAUAUAUUAAUAAAUUUUUAUAUUUUAAAUUAUUUUUACAUAUAUUGCAAUGAUUUAUUUAUAAAUAAAUAAAUCAAAUUAAAUAUAUAAUAAUACUCAAUUAUUAAAAUAUAAAAGCAUUGCAAACUACUUCCGAAAUUUACUAAUUAGUAGUGAAUCAAUUGUAGUGAUCUCUUGAUGAAAUUGCGCUCAGCAUAAAAGCAAUUUUUUUGUUGUCUUACAAACAACACAAAUAGCAUCAUUAUCAAAUUUCAGCCACUCUCAAGUAUAACCAAUUCCUUAGCCAACCAAUCUACAUUGUAACACAAAGCUAUCUCCUAUAAAAUUUAUCCCAAUGCAAACAUUUACAGACAUAAAUAUGUAUAUAUGUAUGCAUUCAACAAAUACAUAACCAUAUGCAUGCAAUCAACUAUGUUCUAGGAUAGAAUUGUGGGUGUGAUAGGACCCAUAAACUUCUUCCCAUACAAAAACGACAUUGGCAAAUACACCAUUCGACAAUGACACCACAUUCUUCCUACAGAAUUAUACAAAAUUAUUAUCUAGAGUAGAAUAAUGUAGAACCUUUGGAACAGAUAUAAGACCUGUAAAAGGGAGACUAUUUAUUAACAAACUUUUGAAAGGAAUCAUGUUCUAGGAUCCACUUACGUGCUUUCUCAAUUGCCCUUUCUCCACCUUCAGCACCUUCACCAAGCAGCUUCAAGCUAACAUAAUUUAACACAGUACCAAACAUGGUGCUUGGACCUUCAAUGUGAAGACCCCAACCACCAUCUCUAUUUUGCAAGAAAACAAACAACUCUCAGAACAGAGCAAUUUUCUUCAUUUGUUUAUAUGGUAAUGACAAUGCCAACUGACAUCGAAUAGUUAGUAAAAGGCAGUUGACUUAAAUGGGUUGGUUUUCCUUUCAUCCAGAUAGCACUAUGCUUGCUUAGAACAAGCUCAACUGAUGUGAGAAACAUUCAAGAGAGCUAGCAGACAAUAAUAACAUAAUUAUGUCAUAAUUAGUUCAUAACAUAAUAUCUACUCAACAAGUGGAAAUCAUAAAAUCUUAAACACACACAGUGCACAUUGCUUGCCUGAUGAUUGAACAGAUAUCUUAAUAUCUCAUAUUGAUGCUCCUUUGAUAGGACAAUAUUCAAGGCUCCAGUAACAUAUAAUGUAAUAACCUGUUGCAGUUUAUAAAUAAAGCUUAAAUUACAUAUCAUCCAAUUAUUAGUUGUUGAGAGAUGCAACAAUGUCAAGGUAAUCAGAAAGCUAUUGAAAUGUAAUUAUCAGGGGAUCUUAGAGUUAAAAAGAUAGACAUAAUGACAAAAUAAAGGAUUGGUUCUUCCGCUACACGUACAAAUGUGAAAUGUCAAAAAAUUUUAAGAAGCAGCAAUUUAAUUUCUUUGUAGAUUAAGCCACAGAAAAGACAUUAGUAAUAUCCACAUUAACAGACAGAUUAGAAUCAGAUAUAGCUUUGUUAAGCCUUACCAAACCAGGAAGUAGAAACAUAGGGCCCCCAUAAUCUCCUGGCCAAUGACUAUCAUCUGCUUGUAUUGUUGAAUAAAAAUCAAGGGCACUGCGUAAUGUUGUCAUUACAGCCUCUUCCUUGACAUCUUCAAACUCUUCCAGUUUGGUUUGUGGUAAAUUAGUGACAGAUUGUUUCUCCUCCGCAAACUACAUCCAGAAAGAACUAUAAUGACCUUCAAAAUGCAAAAUGGCUAAAACAAACAACAAUGGUUUAGACGACGUGUCAAAAACAAGAAAUCUUUUCUCCACUCCUUAACUGUUUCCAUAUAAUCUGGAUAUGAAGUUUACCACAGCAGAAGAGAAAAGUUUUAAGCUUCUUCUUUUUCCUUUUUUGAAGUUUUUUGUCAAAUCAUGAAAUCAAUCAUAGAAGUAAAAUUUCCCUGCAAUGGAAAGACUAAAGAGAACUAUAUGGAAAUCCCAACAGCAGAGAACCAAUUCUUCCAAACUUGGAAAACAAAUUUCAUGAACAACUAAUUAACAAAAAACCCCAAAUCCCAAUUUCAACAUCCAUAUUAACCUGAAUUCUCAUGAGAAGAUCAGAACUGUGUUUUUUGUGGAAACGGUUAUCCCGAAAACUCUGACGAGCCAUUUCCACCUUAGAAAGCUCUUUCGGGGUUCUUGAUUCAGGGCAGAAUUCCCAGACUUGAUGAACGCCGGUGUCUGGUGUUAAGAAUCGAUGUUGGCUGAUGGCAAGAAUAAGAUCAGGUGUCAAGGAUAGGGGAAGGGGAAGGGGAAGGGAAAGGGAAAGGAAAAUUUUCUUGAAAAUGUCUUACUGAAUUAGAAACGGUAAAACAUUUUCCAAAAUUAAAGGCUUCUUUUUCCCGUGUUUGUAAUUGAUUUUACGUGAGGAAAAUAUUUUCAGCCAAACAAACACUAGAAAAGGCUGAAAACCUUUUCCGGAAAAUGUUUUACUACAAUCAAACAGACCCUAAGUUGUUUUUCUUACAAUGUAAAUGUUCUUACAGUGCCACUUAUCAUCAGUUUGAACUUAGACAACCAAUGAACUAAUAUUUGUUUGUCACAGUUUUGCUAUGCAUGUAGAACACGAAAGACAGAAACAUAAAAGAUAUAAUAGUGAAAUGUAAAAUUAACUUUAUUUAUUUAUUCAUCGUUCAAAUACAUGGAAAACAAUUACAUGUUUACGACAAUAUAAACACAUUUCCCAACACUUACUAAGCAUCUGAAAUGGUUACCCCAUUAUCUUCCUUUUUUUGUAGAUUACCAUCUUGCGGAACAUGUCGAUCAAAUUUACGAGAAUCUCACAAUACCCUGUCAUUGAUUUGGUUUUGUGGCAUGUUAAUAGGAGUUAUGCUUUUGGUAAUAUAGAUGUUAGUAUUGUUGAACCUUUCUAAUGUUUGAAUGUUUGGUAAAGUAAAGCUUAUUUGAACAUGUUGUUUGGUAACAUUUUGAACUAUAGGUGUGAUACUUGAUAUGGUAUAUUUGAGCAUGAAUGGCAUGAUUAAAUGAUGGUGUGGAAUGGCUAUAUGUAUAAUUGAAUUUAUAUAAGUUGAAUUAAAAUGAUUUGAUGCCAAAUUGUGGCAUAUUGGUCUAAUUGAUUGGGUAAAUAGUUAAAUAUAUGUUUGGCACGUGUUUUGGCAUAUUCUUGUGCAGGUAAUGUUAUGCAAAAAUGUACCAACUUUGUAUAAUGGUUUAGUUGGUUGAAAUAGUCACCAAAAGGCCUAUUUUGUGUCAAAAACAGAGUCCAUGUCACUAAGUCAAGUAGUGGUCAUCGCGAUGAGAUCUGGGUUUUGGACCACAACAUGACAAAGAACCCCGUCAUCUCAACGAGGCAAAACAAACGAUCACGUUGUGACGAAGAACUCUUCACAUUGCGAUUUCAGGUUAACUUCAGAGCAUUCAUAGGCUCGUAUAAGACCCGAGAAAGUUUGUAUUUGAUGUUUAUCAAUUGAAAUAAUUAUUAUGUUUGUAUGAUUUAUGCUUAAAUUGAGUGAUAGUUGUCUGUAGUUUUUCCAACAAUGACUGUAGUAUUCUGUAACUCAAACCCGACGAUCGGGUUGCGAGGGGUGUUACAGAUAGAUGAAUAAGUAUCCAAUUGAACCCUUUGAAAUAUAAACCCCAACAAACUCAAUUAAGGGCUCUAAUCAACCCUCAAAGAAAUAAUCCUUGGUAAAUUGAAGGAUGAAGAAUGAAUUCACACGACUUCUUAAAGAAAAUUGAGAAGAAAACCGUUUCUAAAAAUUAUAAGAAACCAAUUUUGCACAAAGAAACUAACUCCCAGAGUUGGAAAUUUUAUUAAUGAACAAAAAAAUAAUUAUGUAUCUAAUGAACAAUUAAGAGGUUUUUAUAUAGGCUUAGCUAAGUACAUCCAAAUAAAACUCUCGAUUAUAUUCAAGCUCUAAUUAAUCUAAACAAUACGUAGUUUUAAAUCAAACUUUUUUAUUUAAUAAGAAACAUAGAAUACCUAAAUAACUUAAAAUACUUAAAAAAUUUCAAAAUUCGGAAUAAAUAAAUAAUAAAAUAACAAAACAUAAUAAAUACAAUAUUGGGCUCAUAUAAAAUAAAAGUUAAGCUUAAAAAUCGAAUCCAAUAUGAUUUAAACUUGAAUUAAAAGUCCAAAACUUGUAAUUUUCGUAAUAAUUCCAUCUAGAAAUUUUAGUUGCACAGUUUUUACUAAAAUUGUCAUAACUUGAGCUCCUAAACUCGAAACCGAGUGAUUCAAGAUAUGUUUCGAAGCUAAGAGACAGAUCUUUGAACAUAAUAAAGACAUCUCAACCCAGAACAUGUUUGGAUUCUAUCCUAAACGUUAUCAUAAGUCGAAUAAUUUUUUCAAACUUAAAAAUUGACAGCUUUAGUAAAUAAAAUUUAAUAAAUUUCACCUAUGUAUCCCCUGAUCAAGAAUAAGCUUGAGCCACGUCUUCAUUUUAGUAAGAGUCGGUGUGUAGCAUUUAUUCAGACAAUAAUUCAAUCUAUUUGUUAUAAACCAUGAAAUUUCGUUUGAGUUUCCACGUGAUAGAGGCAACACUUGCCCAAUCAAAGGGAAAAAAAAAAAUCCUAUUUUAUAUAUCUAGGAUAUAAAAUACUACAAGACCCAAAAAGACAGGUGCGUAGCUAGUUUGCGGUUUGCAAAUAUAUCAUAUCAUUUACUAACAUUUAUAUUCAUGAACGUUAAAUUUCUUAUGAUUUUUUUUUAUAUAAAUAUUGAUGAUACUUGUUGCUACAUGAAAAUAGUAUGUUAAAAUCUCUAGUAACAACGAAUUAAUAGUAAUUUUUUUAUGUUUUUCUAUCUUUAAUUUAUGGUUACUUUUGGGGAAAUUUUAUAAUUUUUCUAUAUUUUUUUAACUUUUUAUAAAUUUCUACAAUUAAAGAAAAAAGAGUAAGGAUCAAAUUGGUAAAAAUUGUAAAAAUUUAGGGUUAAAAUUUAUUAUUAUACAUAAUAUUUUAAUAGAGUUAAUGAAAAAGUUAAGAAAAUACCUGAAAAUGAUCCAAUCGAAAAGCAAAAAAGAAACAAAUUUUAAGCAAAUAAAAAUAAAGGGACUAAAUCCACACAAAUCAAUAAAUACAGAAACUAUUUUUAAAAUUUAACCUAUUUUCCCUUCGUCUCUACCAUAAAUAAUGACAUUUAAUCUACUAAUAAAUUGCAAUAAUAAAGUCUAGCUAAUUCAUGCAAUCAUAAUCACUACGACUUUGCUUAUAUUUAAAAAAAAAUACCAAAGUCUUUCUUUUAUAAACAAAAAUCUCCAAUCCUUUUCAAUUUAAAAAUUGUCAAAUUAAUCCCUCUCAAAAACAUUGAAGUAUUUUAAUCUCUCUAAAAUUUGAAAGUGAAUAACUAAAGACAAUUAAUCACGACAUUAAAAUUUUCCAUCAAUUGUACAUGAUUUUAAUUGGUAUAAUAAUAAAUUUAGCCCUCAAAAUUUACACAUUCUUUCGAUUUGGUCCUACCUUAAUAGAUAUAUCCCUCAACAUUUGUAGAAAUAUGUAAAUAUUGAGGCUAAAUUUGUUGAAUUUAUAGAAUUAAGGUCAAAAUGACAAAUAUUUAUGUAAACUUUGAAGGCUAAUUUUUUUUACUAUUCCAAUCAAAUUUUGUACAACUAAUGGGAGAUUUCGUGCUUAAUUGUCUUUAAUUGUCCUGGUUUAAAAUUGAUAGGGAUUACAUUUCACCCAUUUUUUAGAGAAUCAAUUUACUAAAUUUUUAAAUUUAGAGGGGACGGUUUCUACCGUCUUUUUUUUCAUCAAAAGACAGUUAAAAAUGUGGUUACGUACUUUUAUAAUAUAAUAUAUUAUAAUGAAAUAUUAAAUUAAAUUAGAGUUACGAAUUAAUUCGAUACUUAUUUCAUUAAAAAAUAUAAAUAAAUCUAAUAUAUAAUAAAAGUAAUAUAUUACUAAGACUAUAAUAUAUAUAAAAACACGAAAUUUGAAUUAACGAAAAUAUUUUCUAUUUUAUAUAAAUUUAAAUUAAUUUUAUUUGUUUCUUUCAUGCACGUAUGAAGUAGAAGAUAUUUAAAUAGAUAAAUGGUAAGACGUAAGAAAUUGUAUAUAUACAUUGUAAGACAAACAAUAAUGGUGUCAGUUAUGUCGGAAAAAAAGCAUCUCAUGCGCUUUUGGUGAGAAGAAGAAGACGUGUUUUACGUGUGCCUCUUUCCUCCAUGAAUCUUUUAAAAACAAAACAAACUCAGCUUUGAAGAACAUCAUCGGACGAUGGCGGCGGGUGGUGUUGUUUGGGUGACAUUUCCCAAACAGAAUUUGAUACCACCACCAAGGAAGAGAUUUGGUCGGAAACUCAGGACCGGCGUCCCACUGAUCUCAUCGACGGCGGAAAGAGCAUAUUCAGAAGAAAAGGUGCAUGAGGUGGUGUUGAAGCAAGCCGCUUGGGUUAAACAACAGAGGCCAAACGAAGGAUGCAAAGAUUGGGAUCUGUUGAAUGAAGCUUAUGAGAGGUGUGGUGAAGUCUGUGCGGAGUAUGCCAAGACUUUCUACCUGGGUACGUAUGUCCUCUCAUUUUCACCUUGGGUCAAAUAAUAUUACCAAUUUUGAAAAUAAAAAUAAAAAUUUUAUCCGUAAAAAUAUAUUUAUUCUAUAAAAAGUAUUGCUUUACCUUUAAUUGAAACUGGAAGUAUAUUUAUUAAUAAUUCCAGAAUAAUAUUAAAAAUCUUAUUUAGUCAAAUAUUUAUAUUUUAAACUUUAAACUUUAAAUUUUGAACAAUAUUAUAAGUUCUAACCUUUUUUGUUUUUGCACAAUACCUAGAACUCCCUAUAGUUUCUCCACAACUCAUAAAUAGGAAGAUAAUUCGUUUCAAUAAACUCGAACUCUCAUACUUUUACAUUUUUAAUAAUAUUUGAUAUUUAAUAGAGAUGUACAUAACACCUUAGUUACACAACUCACUUGAGAAUGUGUACUUAAAAUUAAAUAUUAAUAAGCUGACCAUUUUCUACUAGCUUAAAUUUUAAAAAUAUUUAAUUAUCUUUUUUUAGGAAAAUGGAUUUAAUAUAUUUGAAAUUAUUUGAUACUCUAAGUGGAGGUUUUAGACUUCACAAGCAGGAUUAGAAGGUUAACAAAUGUUCUACUGGAAACUAGUAAAAUAUUAUAUAUAUAUAUAUAUUAAAAAAAGACACAUGUCAAAUUUUAAAGUUGUUUGUGAAAUAAUUAGGCUUAAUGACAGAUUUGGCCAUUAACGUUUACAUGUUUUGUCAAAAUGAUCCUAAUUGUAAUUUUUUAGCCUUUUUUGGCCAUCAACAUUUAUUUUUUUUCAAACUGCUUCUUCUAAAAAAUUUGAUGAAAGUUCCGUUAAAAAAAUUAACGAGGAUGAUGUGGCAUAUUUUUAAUAAAAUGUAAUUUAUUAUUUAGGUAACCUAAUAAGAUAAUUACAUGUGAAAAAUAAUAAAAAUAAAUAAAUCAUACAUAAAAUUAAAAAAAUAAGUCUUAAUUUACAGAAAAUAAAUGUAGUUAUCUAAAAAAGUGUUUCAAAAUGAAUGCAUACGUUUGUUCACUAAAAGGUUUCAAAAAGAUAAUUAAUAAAUCAAACUAAAAACACUGAACGUGUGCAUUCAUUUUAAAACAUUUUUUUAGAUAAUUAAGUUUAUUUUCUUUAAAUUAAGAUUUAUUUUUUAACGAAUUAUUUUUUAUUAUUAUUAUCCACGUGUAAUUAUUUUAUUGGAUUAUCUAAGCAAUAAAUUACAUCUCAUUAAAAAUAUUCCACAUAUAAAAUUCCACAUCAUCCCAUUAACUUUUUUUAAUGGCACUUUCAUCAAAUCUAUUAAAGAAAAACAAUUUGAAAAAAAGAAAAACUCAAAAAUUUAAUUAGGAGAUUAAGAUUUCUCCAUAUCCAAUUUAUGGAAGGAGCUGUUUGUUGUUGUUUGAAGGUACAUUGCUUAUGACACCAGAACGUCGGAGGGCUAUUUGGGCCAUUUACGGUAUGUAAUGUUUUUCUUUUGGGGCUAUUUGGGAUGUUGCUAAAUGUUAUGUUACCAAGAAUAUUGAUAUAUGAGUAUAUGUUCGAUAUAUAUAUAUAUAUGUUUAAUGUUUUUAUAUGUAUUUGGAUGGUUCAUUAAAGAUCAUAUCUUUAUAAUCAUGUUCAAAUAUGUGUCAAACACAAAUAUUUAAAAAGAUAUAAAAACUCAGAGAUUUUUAGUGAAUGUUCAGAAAGUGUUUGUUAAAAUAUCCAGUCCUUUUGUUAUGCAGUUUGGUGCAGAAGGACAGAUGAGCUGGUAGAUGGACCAAAUGCUUCACACAUUACACCAAGGGCUCUUGACACUUGGGAGAAAAGAUUAGAUAACAUCUUUCAAGGUCGUCCCUAUGACUUGUUUGAUGCUGCUUUAUCUCAUACUGUCUCAAACUACCCUCUUGGUAUUCAGGUUAGAUGCAUAGCCAUGUUUGGCAUUCACAAAUUUAUUGAGGUUUGAUGUAUUGAGAAAUGGAAUUGGUAUGUGUUGCUUACAGUCCAAGGAGGAGUGUUGAAAGCUGGACUGCAAAGCAACAUGUGGCCAGCAGCAUGGUUGGCUAUUGAGCUUGGUGAUAUUACUUGGCGUGCAAGACUGAAGCUGAACCAGAUGAAGCAAUCAACUUUGGAUGUUUUGUUCUUUUGUAAUUUAGUUUAGUUCAACUUUAACUAGUUUCCAAAGUUAGUUGGAUUAAGUUUGUGAUUGGAUUGAUGAUGUAAAAGCUGAUAUGUCAGCUUAUUUUGUAUUUGACUUAAGCUUGUAUUAGUUUAGUUUAAGUGGGAGCAGUUAUGUCAUUAGGUAACUGUCAAAUGAAUCAAAUUUGUAACUCUUUUAUAUAUUCAAAUUUUGAAUGAAAAUAAAAAAUGUUCAGUUACAAUUUGCUGAGUAUUCAUUUUUUGUUCACUGUUUUUGCUUUGCUUUGUUUUUCUUUUGCUUCGAUACUUCUUGCUUCAGUUUUGCAAAUUUUGUUUUGCAACCUUGUUUUCUUUUGCUGCUGCCAUUGUUCCAACAUGAUAGAAGGGAUGAGGUUAGAUUUAUUGAAAACCAGAUAUAACAACUUUGAUGAACUCUAUCUAUACUGCUACUAUGUUGCUGGGACGGUCGGACUAAUGAGUGUUCCGGUAAUGGGAAUCGCAUCCGAAUCAAAGGCAUCCAACGAAACCGUGUAUAGUGCUGCAUUAGCCCUCGGAAUCGCUAAUCAACUUACUAAUAUAAUCCGAGAUGUUGGGGAAGAGUAAGUUCAAUGGCACUGAAUUAUUAGCAUCAUCAUGAUCAUUACUUUUAGUGACAACAAUAAGCUUCAUGCUCAUUUUAAAGAUUUAAUUUGAAUAAUUAAAUUAACAGUUGUAGGAGAGGAAGAAUAUAUCUUCCACAAGAUGAACUUGCCUCGGCAGGGAUAUCGGAAGACGAAAUAUUUCGAGGACUAGUGAGCAAUAAAUGGAAAAUUUUCAUGAAAAAUCAAAUAAAACGAGCAAGAAUGUACUUUGAUGAGGCCGAAAAAGGGGUUGCGGAGCUAGAGGAGGCAAGCAGAUGGCCAGUGUGGGCAUCAUUGUUGUUGUAUAGACAAAUCUUAGAUGUCAUUGAAGAAAAUGACUAUAAUAAUUUCACCAAAAAGGCUUAUGUAGGGAAAGCAAAGAAAUUUGCUUCACUUCCACUGGCUUAUGGAAGAGCAAUUAUGGGCACUUCCAAAUUCUUCUGACUUUCACAUCAACUAUAUUCCAAAAUCGAAUUGGGUCGGAUUCCAAAUCUUUUUUCAUUCACAAAUUCAUCUUUACUUAAGAGAUAUUGAACUUUUUACUACUCCAACCCAUUAAUUAUCGAGAUAUCCACUAAAUUCCACCAAAUCAUUGGUCCGUAUAUUUGUUGUAAAAAAGUUUCUAUAUUAUGUAAAUGUUGUUAUCAAAUUGAGCAAUUAAAAUAAUUUUACUUAAGUUAAAAUAUGUCAUAAGUUUGUGUAUUUUUCGUAAAUUUAUAAUUUAAUCUUUUAUUUUUAUUUUUAUUUAGAUUCUAGUUCUUUGCUUUUUAUAUUUCAAAAUUCGGGUUCAACUGUUAAUAUUAUUAAAAUUAUUUUAUUAAAUUCAAGUUUAUUACAAAGUAAUUUUUGUAGUUACAUUACUACCAAGUGAGUAAUUCUUUUUUUAAUUUCAAAAUGUCAUACAAACAAAUUUAACAAUAAAAAUGUAACAAUAUUAACAAUUGAACCCAAAUUCUGAAAUCUGAAAAGUAGAGAAAUUAAAUUUUUGAAGAAAAAAAGUAUAGGGACUACAUUUCAAAUUUGUGAAGAAUAUAAGAUCUAAUGUUUAUGAAAUACUUAUUUAAUAUUAUAAUUAGUAAUCUAAUACCAACAAGUGUGAGGUAAAAUAGUAGACUGAUGGUGGAGGAGAGUUUCAGGUAUUACUUCCACAUCUUAAGGAGUACUAAGCAUAGGUUGUCUAUUACUCAAUUACUUACUACACCUAACCUAGACUUGUUACCUUCAUCAUCGUCAAUAGUUCCUAUUGUUCCAGAUAGAAGCAUAAAAUACUCAUACCAUGAUCAAUCGCAACAAGGCAAACGUGUUCCAAGCCCAAACCCUAUAUAGCACCAGCAAUAGAUGAGGACCUAAUAUACACACUACUAUGCAAAAUCCCUUGUGGUCAAGUGCAGUUAAGACUUAGAUGUUCUCUUCAAGAAGAAUACUUAGUUCCAAACCAGCAAAUAGGAGAAUUAUAAGCUGCAGAUGGCAUUUUAAAGUCGAAAGAAAUAUUGAUGGCACUAUCUCUCGCUACAAAUUAAACAAGAUUGGUUGCCAAAGGGUACUCACAAUCUGCAGGAUAUAUAACCUCUAUGAAACCUUUAGUCGGUCCUAUGGUGAAGGCAAAUGCAGCAAGAACCAUACAUACCCUUACUGUCAUACAACAUUGGAAGCUACCACAAGUGAAUGUCAAUAAUGGUGACUUGCUCAUGGAAGUGGUUAUGGCACGACCCCUUAGCUUUGAGAAACAACAAAAAGAUUCAUAUGUGCUCAAACAAGCAUUUUGUGCUAGGUUCAAAAAGCUAAGAGGUUUUCUAGUGGUCUAAUUGAAGUUUACCUCAUCUCAAGUUGAUCUUUCCAUUUUCUUCAAAAAUUCUAAAGGGUCAUGCUUGUUCUUGGUUGUGUACGUGGAUGACAUAAUAGUCACUGGUUCGAAACAAGGUAUGGAUAGCAUUGCGAGUUCAAUGUUCAGUUCUCUUUGAAGGAUUUAGGUGACCUAAGCUACUUUUUGGGAUUAGAAGUGACUUCCAUUGGUUAGCUCUCCAGCAUUGUCAUCAUCGUUAUGUGUUCCAAUUGAAAAUGCUACAGGUUAUAGGAGUGCGAUUGGAGCAUUACAGUACAUGUGCUAACUAGGCCUAACGUUGCCUACAACGUAUACAAAGUGAGCCAAUACAUGCAACGGCCUUUUCACAUUCAAUGGUGUUUUUUUUUAAGAGAAUCCUGAAGUAUCUGAUUUGCUCUUCAAGUUGUCAUCUUUCCUGGAUCUCACUGGGUUUUCUAAUGCGCUUAUGUGGUAGCUAUUUUGAGGAUCCAAGGUCUACUUCUGGACAUUACAUUUAUCUUGGUGGAUGCUCCUCAAAGAAACGAGUGGUUUCUCGCUCAACAUCUACACAAGUCAGCUAACCGUUACAUUGUUUGGUUCCAGUCACCGGUGAGUGAAGUUGGGAUGGAUUCAGAUGGUACGCUUGUUAAGUGGCGUGAUUCUAUUGCAAUGGCUACAAAUCCACUUUAAAGGAUAGCACUUUUGGUGGGACAUAAUUUUUAAAUCUAAUAGCAAAACAUUUUACAAGCUAAACAUGAAGAAUCAAUCUCGACUAACAUUAUUUCAAUUCCAAACAUGGACUCAUGCAUUUAUUUUAAUUAGCUAUCCACAAUAUAAUGUUUAUUUAACCAGAAUUUAUCUUUUAUUAAUUCAAUUCACUUCAUGUACACAGAUUUCCCAUCAUACACCAGGUAUUUAGUUUUCAUCGUUCCUUUCAGAUUUGUGACGUUAAAUCAAAACUCUAGUUUUCACCUAUACCCAUUUACGUAUUUAACAAUCACAGAGGGUGAGAUCAAAUGCCAAGGACAUUAGGCCUAAUAGAAGACAAUGAUUUUCUUUGCCAGUCAAUCGGUCGAUCCAUGUCCCAAUUCGUCAUCAGUUUCUGUUUUGCUACACCCUUUUCUUCACUGCCGCUUUGCUAAUGUCUUCCUUAAUCCCCUUAUAAUCUUUCCGAACCAAAAUAAGUUCAUAACUGAUAGGACUGACGGCACAACGAAUAUUAACAAUAGCCCAUAGCUGUGCAUCUGCUUUACCUGCUUUUACGAGAAAAUUGCAGUUCGCUGUUAACUUAUUUAUCAGAAGAAAAAAUGUAUGAUAAUAAUUUAUUCAUGUGAAAAAUCCCUGUCAACAUAUUAAAAACGAGGCAUAAGAUGUUAAAGGUGUCAUAUCAAGUUUUACUACUGUUCUCAAAUGAUAUCAGGUUUGUUCAUUACUUAACACAAGCAAUAACAAAUACCCCUUCGAUUUGAAACUAAGAACUAAUUCAGUUAAUUCAUGCCUAAUUGUUAUUUCCAGAACUACAAUCUCUUUUGUCAAGAAGGAAACGAAUACAUCUACCUUGUGUUACUCAGACUCAAAGGUAAAUGUGAGAUGCAAGUACCUGUCUAACACAGUUAAGCCUCAUUUUUUAAGUUUUUCCAUAUAAUUGGAUAAUCAUAACCACGUAUCCGUGUCUGAAUACAGGUCAGAUACAAGUAACAGAAAUGGAUACCUUAGAGAAAAUGAAAAGUCAAAACAAUAUAGCACCCAGUAUGUGCCAGCUAAAGUAAGAUAGUAUAAAAGAAGUUUAAUACUUAGAACCCAAGAUAAUUUUAAUAAAAUUUUAGAUUAAGAGGCAAAUAAGCUAGUAAAUAAUAAACAUGCACGCCUAGGGAUGACAGCAGGUAAAGUUUUGCAGCAACAGUUUACCUGAUCAUAGUGCAAGUAGAUGUGAUAAAAUAGAUACAUAAACAGGAGUACUCUAGCAACCUGUCAAAAACAUCAAAGUUCAUUAUAAGUAACUGCAAGAUAAAUUAGUGGAGAGGACAUAAAUGAAAGCAUUAACAGAAAAGGAAAAAGUCCAAGAGCAAUAAACUGAUUUCACUCACAAACCAUGCGACAAAUAUUACAACUCCAUUGACCAAGUAAGCUUUGGAUCUCUUCAUUCCAACUGUGUCAAGAUACCUAUAUGAAACCAGUAACAUCUGUAACAUAGAGUAAAGUAACAAGUAUUUUACAAUUGGCAUGCAAGGAAUGAAGUAGUAAAUAUGUAAUCUUUUACCAUCUCAAAUUGAUCCCAGGCGUUGUAGUCUCAGAGAUUAGUACCAUGAAGGUGUAAAGCUGCCCCUCCCCAGUCAACAUAGAAUAUGCUACAGCUGCUAAUGACAGAAGAUGAUGAAGGACCUGAAUAACAAAAAAUUUAGGUUGAUUUACAUCAGGAUCAGCUUGAAUAUCAGGGCUUGACAUAGGCCAAGACUUAGACCCAAUAAUAAAAUACUUACAUACUCCAUUCCACCUAGAGAAGGGUAAAACCAAAUGAUCAUACCAAGGUCAGCCAGAAAGUAACCAACAGAUGCCUGUCAAAAGAAAAUUUUCAAGAAAUGGCAUGUAAGAUAAUUACUUAGAAGCUGGCUCUGAGAUGAUAAGAUAUAAACCGAGAGAAAUAUUAAACACAAAAUGAAAACGUUCAGCAAGAUGAAUUUCUGAAAUAUAUUUUCCUCUUGUACAAACAACAGUGCUACAACUAAAUUUCCAGCCACGUUAAAAACUGAGUUGAUAGGUAGAGUGUGUCACUUGGUAUGUGGUUGGUAAAUAAUAUCAUGACUUUCACAGCUUCUCUGCGUGUAUUUAUUAUUUAUUCAGUCAUUCAUUAGACAGAUCAUCAUUCUGCAAUAUAAAAAGGCUAACAUACUAACAAAAAAAAAAAAAAAAAACCUUCUACUUCCUCAGGUAUCUCAUAUUAGCCCGUCUUUGUUUUAUUUCAGACAAGGGCUUAUAAGAGCUUAUCUAAGAAAUUCAAGGUACAGCUCACGAGCAAUGUGAUUUACUUAUUGAGUUAGCAGACCAUGCCUCAUGGCCAUGAAAGCUUACUGAGAGACACAUGAUGACAUUGUACAUUUAUAGUUUCUGAGACUGAGCUUUUAAUUGCAAAAUUGCAAUCACAGUGAAAAAUUUUUGCCGUAUGCUAGCUACAUGUGACAUCGGAGAUCUUUAUUUUAAUGAGUAGUCUUCACAUCAAAGGUGAAUUGAACCAGGGUCUGACUCCCCUCCAUUAAUUUCCAUUACACAUUAAUCACCAUUCAAAAGUGACUUUCACAACUUUCAAAAGAAAAGUAUAACUUCCACAAAUAAUAAAUGAGUCCUGCAGAAAUGAAUGGUAAUGAUGGAUGUAUUGAAAAAUAAUAGACAAAAGAUAAUGUUUGGGAUCCUAAUCCAUUGAACCAAGACUAGCAAACCCCUAUGAAAACCAAGCCCAGCUUACUAUAAAGUUUCAAUGAAAACUUUUGACCAUGAGUUCAAGAAAUGCUUGUCCUAAGCUAAAAGUUAAGUUUAUUAAAUUUUGUGAAAGGGAGUUAACAUGAAUGCAUAUUUUUCCACCACAAUUAUGUUACUCGUUUUGCACAAAAACAAGAGAUUUGGCUAAGGGUACAUGAAAUACUCUGUUGGGGCUAUGAAACAAAGUGGCUGAGAACCUUAAACCAUAUUAAAUCAGAAGAAUUGCACUUGCAGGCAUGACCAAGGAUAUACAUAUUACAUAGACAGAAAUAUGAUGGUACUCUUCAUUGCUGUCCCUGGAAAAUGAGAGGUCAAUUUCAGCAUGAGAAAAAACAGCAAUUCACAAAUAUUUGUCGUAUCAAUGGUAGAGCCACCCACAUCAUUCAAACUUAUCAAGUAAAACAUUUCCAUUCGCUAGAAAUUUAAAUAUUCAAUAAAGAAAACUUAACAUUUCAUAGCUUCUUCUAACUGAUACAGUAAAUGUGCUCAAAAUAAACCACUCAGGAGAAUUUUAUGUAUCACAGUGCAUGACUAAAAUUAUCACGAUGACGUGUUAUUAAAGUCAGGCAGAUCAACUUUUUACUGAUAGCCAAUAUUAGAAGUCAAGGAUAAAAGACCAGACAUAAAUGAUCAAAUAUUAUCUCAAUUCCAAAAGUUUUCAUUGAAGAUGAAGGAAAAAGCUAUCCUCACCCCCAAACUGAAUGUAGACAAUGCAGAACUGCGGAAAGUAACCAUGCCAGCAUAUUGGUUGUCAGAAUAGAGGUUUGACCAAAACACGAAGUAUAACGACAUGGCAGUUAUGAACAUGGCAUGAAAGGUUGAUAUGGAUCUGCAUAAACCAUCCCGACGUUAAUUCUGUAUAUAUAAAAGCAAAAAGUAAUGACAAAUUCAAGAUAACUAGAAAUAUUAGUCACCGGUUGCUCCACUCAGUGCGUUGAAUUUUUGGUAGGCUAGGAUAGCUCUUAAAGUAAACACUGCUAAACAACUGAGUAAGAUCAUAUACCUGGAAAAGGAUAAUGCAGUCAAAACUUGAGAGGAAGAGAAAGAAGGAAAAGGUAGCACAAAGGAAAUAAAGGGAAAAAAAGACGCUUAAACAGAAGAAAUGAGAAAAAUAACAGAGAAAACUCAGAAGAAACUAAAGCUCAAUGAAACGUAACCAUCAUUAUAGAAAUAAGAUAAAAAGUUCAGAUCAUACAGCUGCAAAUCGUCAUUCUAACUCAACUGAAUUAUUUUCAAUCUGAACAGUAAAUCACAAAAAUGAUUAGGGAACAUACCAUCUUGCAGGCACAAAUGCCGCAAAUGAUUGAUGUGUAUGGGAUGAAGGAAUCUGCUAGUAAAUAUUCCUUUACCAGCAGCUCAGCUGGAUUCUGGUAAGAUUUUAUCCCCAUAAUUUCUGUUUUAGAAAACGCUAACAGAGCAUAUUCGUUAACCAAUCAGUCCAAGAAAAUGAACUUCUGUUGUCUCCUGUACUCUGCUCGUUCUUCAUGAUGAAUAAAACAUAAAACAAUUGAAUGAACGUUAGAAAAAUAUUUUAAAAAGGAAAAAAUUCUACAUUCCAAGUAUAGUUGAUUUUAAUUUGAAUUAUAGUACACUAGAAAUUCAAAUAUAGUGCACGACUAGCAUUCCCCUCUAAACAAGAAAAAAGCACGAACCACACCAUUCACCAUAUAUGAAAGACAAUCAUAACAUCAUAGUGUCUUAAUUUUCACAUUCCAACCAUCUAAAAGGGUGAGAAUAGGUGCAAGAGAGGAUGGCUAUGACGUGAAAAUCAGAAAAUGUACAGAAUAUGCAGUCAAAAGAGAGUUAGCAGUCCCAGACUUGAAUUUGGGAUGGGCAUAUCCUCAAAGUCAUCUUUAGGGCAUAUCCUUCAAAGUUAAGGGGUAUUAAACAUAACAAGACAUGCAAUUCAAAUAACAUAUGCCAUAAAUUCAUUUCAAUAAAGAAUGCUCCUCCAUUCAUGUCAAUGGUGGUUUAAUAUGAAUGAAAUUGACGAUAAUUGCUUAAGGAAAAGAAGUUCUAAUCUAAUUAACAUACAUUGAGAAUCUCUUCCCCCCCCCCCUCCCAUCCCUUCUUCAAAAGGGAAAUAUAUAUAUCAGGAUCUAUUAAGUUUCUUGGCCUAAGCAGCAGGGAUGCAGAUACAGAAUACUUGUACAACAGAUAUGAACAGAGGAACACGAAUUUUUUUAAAGAAAAUUAGGCAUGGAAACAGUAGAGCACAACAAGAAAAAGAUUUAUUAUGGAAUAAUAAACAAUAAAACUGUAAAACUGAUACCUUUGAAUAAAAUAUUAUUAACGUGAAAAUAGUUUUUUUCAAUUUUUUAAAAUAAAAUUUGAAGUUAAAAACUUGACGUUAAAAUUUUCAUUAAAAUGUUAUUCAAGUUUUCUCCUCUCUUUUUUUAAAUAUAUAUUAUGAUCCUGAAGAAGGAAAAAAUGACAUAAAGAGUCAAGCUUCUUGUUCUUUGCAGCCAUUGAAUUUAACAGAAGUAAAUACAAAUGUUUCCGUAGGCAAGAGAACUCUAAACGUGAUCAACUUAUUCUCUUUUGCAUCAAUUUAAAACAACUGAUUCAAUCAUCCGACAAGGUUUUGCCCCAAAAAUUUUUUUAAUUUAAAAUAAAAAAUGUAUCAAACAAAAGUAUCAAUGCAGAAAAACAAGAAGAAAACAACACAGCAUCAAACAACAGAAAUGAACCAAAAAAUUCAAUGAUUAAACAAUCAAAACCAAAUUGAUCAUCGCAAAUCCAGCCGUAUCUAGACUUAUCCAACCAUAUCUUGACCACAUUUCAGCCUAUUUUAUUAUUAUUUUCAUAUUUUUAUGUGUCUGAACAUGUCCAAUAUGCAUUCAGAACACGAAUCCUUGCAUGUUUUAACCACAAUUUUUUAGCCAAGUGAGACAGUAAGCGUCCGAGCUUCAUUGUUCUUGGCGAAUGUUAUUCAAAGUUUAUUUUUAAUAUAUAUCUAUGGUCCUGAAGAAGGAAAAGAUGACAUAAAGAGCCCAAGUUCUUCCUGUUUUUUAUUUCUUUACAGCCAUUGCAUAUAACAGAAGUAAAGUACAAUAAUUUCAGAAGGCAUGGCAACCCUAAUCGUGAUUAACUUAUUAUCUUUUGCAUCAAUUCAAAGCAAAUUCAAUUUCAAUCAUCCAACAAGGAUUUGCAAAAAGAGAUUAAAACUUUAAAAAAAAAUGCAUCCAACAACAACAUCAACGCAGAAAAAACAAGAAAUAACAUAUCAUCAAAGUAACAACUGAAAUAAAAAUAUGGAAACAAAAAAGAACCAAAAAUAAUUCCAUAACAAACCAAUAUGCAAGAUAGAUAAAAAGAAAAAUAUUGAAAAGACAAGAAAGAAGAAAGGAAGGAGGAAAAUAGGAGUACCGGAAUCGGAGACAAAUUAACCAGCGGGAAUUGCGGAAGAAAUCCGGGAUUUAGUUUUUUGGGCAAACAGAAAGCGACGGAAACUGCUGCUGGAUUCUCUGCUUAUUUUUUCUUCUUUUUUCAGAAAAAAUAAUUUGAAGAAAUAUAUAGGCGUAGGAAUGUACUCCAUAAAAAAAUUCUUAAUCAGUGCUUGCCAUCCUGUGUGUCAUAUUUCGCCUUUUCUUUUAAUUGAUUGGAUAGAUAUAAUAUAAUAUAUUAAUAUAAGAUUAUGAUUUUUCUAGAAUAAUUUAUGAAAAACUGAGGUCAAAUAAGGUUAUCUGUAUAUAAUAGAUUAUUCUAUUUCCAGAAUGCUUUUCCAAAAGACAAAGUGCAGCAUCUAUUCCACGUUCUACAAUUAUAUUAUGAUAAUUUAUAAUAGAUGCAAUAAAAAGAAGAUAUGAUAUCUUUGAUAUAUAUACAUAUUAUAUCAUCUUUUUUAAAAUAUAUUUGUACUAUUUUAAAUAUCAUAGGUUGCUUGAUUUUAAGGCUAAGUUUGUUUUAUUGAAAAUAGUUUUCGUAAAAUGAUUUUUUGAAAAAUGGCUUACCUUUCUGGAAAAGUUAAUAUUUUUUGGUAUUUAGAUGAAUCUAUGUAAAAUAUUUUCUAUUGUUUGGCAGAUUUCUUGAAAAUAUUUCAUAAAAGUUGUUUUCAAUUAAACAAACAUAUAUUUUGAGAUUUAUGAUAAGUAGUGAACUGAUUACAAAGUGAUGUUAAGGUGAAAUUAUGGUGGAUGAUGAAUCUUCAUGAUGUUAAGGAUUAAAUUGUAAACUUUGUGAAAUUUAUAAUUGAAACAAUAAAAGCUAUAUCCAUGAAAAUUUGUUAUGUGAAAUAAGAUAUUGUAAUGAAUUAUUUUAUUAAAGUGAUUAUAUGGUGAAAAAUAAAUUAUAAUGAAUUAUUUGACUAAAUUGAAAAAUGUACAAAAGUUUAAGUGUGAAACAACUUAAUAUGUGAAUAAGGAAAUUAUGAUAAAAGUUUAAUGAAUGUGUUAUGAGAUGAUGAAAUAAAGUGAAAUUGUGGAAACGUAUGGAAUUUUUAUGAUGACAAAGACUAAAUAGUUAAACUUGAGAAAAUAUGUAGAUGAAAUAAUAGAAGUGAAAUACAUAUAAAUUUGAUAUGUGAAACAAGAUUUUGAGAUAAAUUAUAUGAUUAAAGUGUAACAAGAAAAGAAAAUGAUUUAAUAUGAUUAAUUAGUGAAUAUUGAACUUUUAUGACAAAAAGAUACUAAAUUGAAAAGUUAUGAAAGUUUAUAAAAAUUAUUUGAUGAGUGAAGAAUGUAAUAGAGAAUGUAACAUCUCAAUGCUUUGACCUAAUGUUCGGGUCAGGUAUGGGGGUGUUAUAGUGAAUAGAGCCUUAUCAGUUUAGAAAUAUCUUAUAAAAAAAUUUGUAAGACAUUUUACGGGAAUAAGGGGGUAAUUUUACGUUGACUAGAAAACUAUUUACAUUGACCAUCCUAUUUUACAUGAAACAAACAUCGAAAAAGGCUGAAAAUAUUUUUCGUAAAAAAAUUCAUGUUGAAACAAACAGAGCCUAAAUCUUAAUUAACAGUAUUUUUUCUGCUUUGUAGCACGGUUUUUUUCUGUUUUGUAGCACAUUUUUCCUUUUCUCUUUGUUCUAGUUUCAUUGUUCAUUGUUUCUGUAAAAAGAGACCAAAUCUAGUGGUUUCUUUUGAUAAUUGUUUUGUGGGCUCUUUACUGACAUCAAAUAUGGUUAGUUUUCGGUCAAUAUGAGUGACUUUGGUAAACAUUUGGCAUCCGAUUUGGGGUAUUUCAAUUUUUGAUCUGAAUGAAUGAAGGUAUCUUAUUCGAUUAUAUCAUAAGGUGGAUGUGGACAGAAUUGAGGCUAGGGCACCAUGGAAUUUCAAUUCUCAUCUUCUCGUUAUGCACCGGUUAAAAGAUAAGGACGAUCCAAUGGCCAUGCCACUGUUUACUGUAAAGUUUUGGGUUCUAAUCCAUGAUCUACCGCAUGGGUUCAUGUCUGAGAUGGUGGCAAAAUAGCUAGUAAUUUUAUUGGUGUGUUCCUUAAGUAUGAUGUGAAAGUUGUUUCAUUGGGGUAUAAAGGAAUAAUACAGGUUAGAGCCCGAUUUGAUAUUCAAAAAUAGAUAAAGCGUGAGAAAAAAAUUUGUGUUGUCGAAUGGGAGGCAGGCUUUUGCAAGAUUUGAGUAUGAAAAGGUCACAUUUUUUUUUGCUUUCUCUAUGGUAAACAUGGUCAUGGGGAAAGUUUUUGUCCUGUUAGGAUUCUCUAGGAGAAGCAAGAUUUUGAUUUGGGUUUGGACAUCUCUCUUCGAGCUCCAGCCAAGCAAAUGAUGGCGCCGAAGAGUCUUUGGCUGAAGGAGGAAGACAUUUUUGGUGUCCCAAAUUCUAGGAUUGCCAAUGCCGAAAUUUUAGGGAUAAAUGAGAGGCCUCUGAAAUUUCAUUUUUAUAGUUUAGGUGAUAAUCUUCAAAGAGAUAUGGUUGAGAAUAUCACCAUUAAUGUGACUUCAACAGGUGUGAAGUCCUCAAGACCACGAAACAAGGUUACUAUUGGGUCGAAUGUUGACUCAAUUCUAGCCUAUAAAUCAAAGGCCACAGUACAUAGAUUUUGAUGAAGAAAUAGGUGUUGAAGGGGAAGAAAGUCCGAUUGUGCAAAUGGAUGGGCUUAAGCAACCACGUACCCAGUUAGCUAAAUCAGGAGUUUAUAGUAAUAUGGUUUUGAAUAUGGAAAAAUUUCUCUAUCGACAGGCCUUGCUCAGCAAGCCAAUCGGUCGCAAUGAAACUCUUAAGUUGGAACGUCCGGGGUUUGGGGAACCCUCGACAGUUUAUCGUUUUUAGCAUGUGUUGAAAGAUCUGAACCCCUUUGUAAUUUUUUUGUUGAAACGAAAUUACAGAGUACUCAAAUAGUGAAUGUAUGUCUAAUAUGUGGAUUUCAGAAUGGAGUUGAUGUUGAUUUAGAUGGCAUAAGUGGUGGUCUCUCUUUUUGUUGGAAGCAUAAAUGUAUUAUUUCUUUUCAUUCUUUUUCAGGAAGACAUAUUGAUGUUUUAAUUACUGAUGAUUCUAAAGGAAACUGCUGGAGAUGUACAGGGUUUUAUGACACACUUGAAGAACAAAGAAGAGUGGAGUCUUGGAAUCUAUUAAGAUAAUUGGAUGAUUGCUCGAAGGUACCAGGGCUUGUAAUUGGGGAAUUUAAUGAGACUGCUUUUUCUUUUGAGAAUCAAGGAGGGCUUUUACGAAGUGAAUGUCAAAUAAAUGAUUUUCAAUGUGCCUUAAAGGAUUGCUCUUUGGAGGAUUUGGGUUACAAUGGUUUCUGGUUCACUUUAGAGAGAGGGAGAAUAGUGAGUAAUAAUAUUCAGGAGAGGCUUGAUAAGAGUGUCAUGAAUGGAUUGUGGUGGCCGUUGUUUCCGCAUUAUAAAGCAUCCCAUCUGCCGCAUCCUUUUUCUGAUUAUUGCCCUGUUUGGUUAAGACUACUUCCGAUCUCAUUAGGUCACCUAAACAGCAGCAUUUCAAGUUUGAGGUCGCAUGGUUAUUGGAAGAAUCUUGAGAACCUGAAGUGAAGAGGCUUUGGGAAAGCUCGUUGGGUCCUAUCUCGGAUAAGCUUCAAGUCGUUAGUAAGGGGCUGAAUGUGUGGUUUAUGAAGAUAAAGUGUGAAAAAAAAUUGACUGAGCUAGAUAUCAGGGAUAGAUUUUGAAGUAGGAUUCUUUCUUGAAGUGGUUGAAAUCUCUCCAUGGGGGGUAAAGAAGUUUUCACAAAGUCCAUUUUGCAGGCUUUACCGACGUAUGCAAUUAUGUGUUUUUUAUUACCUAAAUAUUUUUUCAAAGAACUAGAACCUCUAAUGGCUUGAUUUUGAUGGCAAAAGUCUACUGAGAAAAGGGGAAUUCAUUGGUGUACUUGGUCUUCUCUAUGUGACCUAAAAAGAAACUGUGGUCUUGGCUUUCGAGACUUAUCAAAGUUUAAUAUUGCUUUACUUGCUAAACAAGGUUGGCACCUUCUAACAAACCUGACUACUUCCGUGGGAAGGAUACUAAAAGCAAAGUACUAUCCAUCUACAGGUUUCCUUAAUGUGUCUCUGGGUUCUAACCCUUCUUUGCUUUGGUAGAGCAUAUGGUGUGCGCAUGGACUUUUGGAACUAGGCCUUAGAUGGAGGGUUGGCAUGGGUAAUUCAAUCUCAGAUUGGAAUGAUUAUUGGUUGCUCGAUCCUAUUCCCCAAAAGAUUUAGUCCCCACAAGUGGAUCAUUUUACGUAGGUGUUGGACCUUAUGGUGUGAGAUCCUAUGGCAUGGAACUUGGAUCUAAGUAAUUUUGUAUUUUCCCAUGGCGAAGCUAUUAUUAUUAAAAGUAUUCCCCUUUCGAAUUUUCCAUAAGAGGACUAUGUAGUAUGGGUGGUGAACACUCAGCCUUGUAUAGUGUUUGUAGUGGAUAUCGAUUAUUACUAAGCCCUUCUAAUUUACACUCUGAUGGAUAAAAUAUUAUAUCAACAGAUAUGGAUGCUCUCUUACCCUCCAAAAAUUUGAAUCGCUUUGUGGAAAUUUUUAAAACAUUUUGUACCUACAAAAUUGCGAAUGACCUUCUGUGCCCUAGAUGUUAUCAUGCUGUUGAGGAUAUGAAUCACAUUCUACGAUACUGUGAUUUUGCAAGGGAUGUGUGGCUAGCUUUACACUAUGUUAGCCUAGGUAAUAACGAACAUAUCAACUUUCAUGAAUGGUUAUCAUGGAUGUUUGAAAAUUAUUCUACGAAUAAAAGAGUGAAGAUAGUAGUGGUGUUGUGAGCUAUCUAGUAUGCUAGGAAUAAGCUUAUACAUGAUGGUACAAACUAGAGGAUGGAGGAUUUGGUUGCCUUUGUUCGAGGCUACUGUGCAAAUGUUGAAGUGCUUGUUGCAAGUAUAUAUCAAUCGUCUCCACCUCAGGUUGUUUCCUAGUCCCUUCUUCCGAUAUCAUCUGUUAAGAUUAAUGUCGAUGCCAAUUUUUCCCUAAUACAACGAAAAGUAUGUUCAGGAGAAUUUAUUACAUAUGAACAUGGACAGAUUAUGGGGGCAUGUAGUCAUCUUACCUUACAGUUGCCUAUAGUAUUUACGACAAAAGCUCUCGCGACAGUACAUAGGUUAAGGUUUGCACUUGAUUUGGGCUUCUAGUCAGUCAUCCUAGAGAGUGAUUCCAGGUCGGUCAUCCAAAAGUUAAACAUAAGCUCAGAAGAGUUCUCUGAAAUUAGUACACUUAUUUGGGAAGUAAAGGAGCUUUCAAAACGGUUUUUAGACUGUCGAUUCACCUUCAUAGCUAGAUCAACCAGGUUGCACAUACAAUGGCUCCAGAGGGCAUGUCGAGAACAAAAUAUUGUUUUUAGGUAGAGGAAGUAUCAUUGUUGGCCACCUUUGCCGCGAAGACAGAAGAUCGUUCAAUCUGCCUUAGUCUAGGUUUCAGCAUGCUUUGAGUUAGGGAAUUUCUUGAUAUCUUUAUUUCCCUAAAAUUUCCAAGCAAGUGAUUUUUCAUCGUCCACUUGUUGUUUCGUUUGAAGGCUCAACGCCGGUUAGGGUCUCUUUCGAGAGAGAGGCCUCUUUUAGGUUUGGUUUUCUUUCUAAGUUUUCUUUAUGGUUUUCAUUUUCCAUGUGGUUUGUGUCAUUUUGUUAUUUCUCAUUUAAUAAAGUAACCAGCAUUAUUCUCAAAAAUAUAUAUAAUAAGGUCAUAAAUAUAAUAUUCCUUGAUAAACUAUAAUCUAAAAUUAAAUUAAUACAAAAUACUAGAAAUUUUAUGAAGAAUAUUUAAAGAAAUUUAUUAAUAUUUAUAUAAGCUAGUAUUUAUUACACUUGUAACACCCUAUACCUGGUCCGAUCACCUGACCCGAGCUAUAAGGUAUUACAACUGUUAAACAUUUCUAUCAUACAAAGAUUCGACAUAAAUUAUCAAAAAAUCUAUUAAACAACAUUAACACAAGUGUAAUGUGAUUUACAAUCAAAAUCAGGCAUUAAUUAAGCAUACAAAACCUUUAAACCAACUCAGUAACAACUCAGGACUAAACUAAAAAUUUUACAAAAAUUUAAGUAAAAAGUGUAAACAUCGGUCACAUGAACAUGUGACCAAACUAUGUGGCGAGGCUGAGACCGUGUUGCCUAACCGUAUAACAAAAUUGAUGCCAUGUAAUCAUGGGUCACACGGCCAUUUCGCCCGUGUAACAAACUGAUACCUGGUCGUGCCAUGCAACCGUGUAUGGCACACGAUCGUGUGGCAGACCGUGUACACCUGAACAUGCUUUCAAAACGAAGCCAUCACACCUAUAACCACUUAGGCCACAAGUCAUGCAAUUACCACCCAUUAAACCUAUAUAAAAUGCAUCAAAACUUAACAAAACAUACCAAAUAACAUUCAACUUAAGUGCCUAACCAAUAUGCCAUUAUUAGCACCACAAUUCAAACAUUAAACUUUAAGCAUUCAAGCAUAGCAACCUAACAUUAUAUACCUAUUCAACCAUGAAACUAACUUCAUUUUCUCAUGUUGACGUUCAUAAAACAAAGCUUAUCAAUUUACCAAAUACAUAAACAUCAUUUAAGCUUAACAUCAACAACAACCAAAAUAACAGUUAAGCCUUACAUCCAACUACUCAAUUCACACAUAAGGUGACAUAAACCUCAACCAAAGUUCUCAUAUAAAAAAGUUACCAAACCCUAUUUACAUGGUACUUAUAACCGAGUCAAAAUAAGUAAAUAUCUACCGAAUGAAUUGACGGAUAGUGUGAUCUCCAGAAAUAGUCCAGUCUAUAGCUUGAAUCUGACAAUCUAUAAGAAAGAAAACAAAACGAGGUAAGGUUACUUCAUGCCAUGAGUUUAACAUAUAACAACAAUCAUUGCCUUAUUUCACAUUACCUACCAUACCAAAAGAUUAGUAAUCUUCAUAACAUUGGUAAGAUCACAAGAUAUAAGUUCCAUAUACCAUUUCACUUCUAUUUAAGAAAACAACCAUUCAUGCCAUGAGUUUCUUUCCUAAAUAUUCCUAAAUUUUAAAAGCCUGUAGAACUUUAGUAACUAACUUUGGAUACACAAAGAAAUGAAUGUUCAUACAAGCUGACAAGAAUCUGCAACAAAUGCUAGAUUUCAACCAUCGGUAUGGUAUCCACCACCAGUACAUAGUACCUGGAAAUAUAUAUAUCACCGGCACAGAGUGCCUGAAACUAUAACACCGGUACAUAGCACCUAGAAACUGUAAUCACUGGUACUUAGUGCCUGGAACACCCUAAUGACAUGCUAUUUGUAUCCUAGCUACUCAUUGAGUUUACACAGGCCUUAACUUGUAUACCUUAAUCUUUUCAUAAUUGUAACCUCAUACCAUGAUCAACUUCAUCACAAACAUUCCAUAUAAUAACAUGAUUCAAUUCAAACAAGUACAAUUGUCAUGCUUUACAUUUCAAGCCUUUAUUUCCACCUUCAAACUUACCUCAAUUAACCAUGUCCAUUGUACAAACAUACAUAUACACAUAUAUGAUUAGAAUUCAAAAUAUCAAUAAACAUAACAAAUCUAGUAUGAACUUACUUAAAUGCAAUAGCUAUCAACACAUCGACGAUGAUUACAGUAUGUAGCAUCAUUCACAAUAGUGGAAUUUAUAGCCGAAGACAUGGAUAAAUGAUAUCCUCUCAUUGGCAUUACAUGAUAGAUGAAAAGUAAACGUGGCCACAGGUCGUUCGUCUUUGGGAUAAAUGACUUAAUUACUAUUUGAUAGUGAUUGACUUUUCAUGAAGGAAGAUAUAAUGGUUCCCAUGUGAUAAAAUAGGAUCAUAUUGUGAGAACAGAUUUAUCCCAAUGAGAUUAAGGAUAUCCUUUGGGGAUAACACACUUAUGAUAAGGACAUUGGACGAGUACUAAUCGAGUUGCUUUCGUAAUGGUAUGUCAUUAGGGAGAACUCAGUCAUGAUACUAUAGUGAAAUGACUUUGUGACUAAAUAAGUUUAUAAUUAAUAAGCGAAAAGUUAGAACUUAAUUAUAAAUCAUUUGAGCGCUAAUCACAUAUGUCUAACCGUUCCCUCUGCUACCUCGUUGAAACCAGCAAUGAACUGUAUGUUGAAUCAAAUGAACAUAAAUGGAUAUAGAUGGUAAAGUUAGAGAAAUGUGAAACAUUUGAAAAUGAAUGUGAUUUUCCUACUAUGGAAAUAGUUUGAGAAUUAAUUUAUGGUUUUUUAAUUAUUAUUUAAUUAUUUAAUUAAAUAAUUAAAGUUUGAAAAUGAAAUUAAAUUAAUUGGUCAUUAUGAAUCCAUUAAAUGCAUAAAUAUUAAAUAUAUUUUUCAUAAAUUUUUUUACGGUAAAUUUUUCAUGAUUUUAACGGAAUCAAAAUUAGGUUGAGAAAAUUAUUUAAUUAGAAAAUUAUUUUAUGAUUUUUAUUUUGGAAAGUAGAAAAAUAUGUGUUGGGUUAGAUUGAAUUAUAUAAUGUUGGGUUAAAAGUUUAAAAAGCACUUAUAAUUGGACCCGAUACGGGAGAGGCUCAAAAGCCCUUCAUGUUAAUACAUGGGACGACAAACCCUACUAUAUUUAACUAGCGUUGUCGCCCUCUCUCUCCUAGUUCAACUAUGAAGUUAUUUUUCUAUUAAAUAAACUUUUAUUUAUUCAACAAAAGUUUCACUUCUUCUCCUUAUAAAUAGAUAGUACCAGUAGGGCUAAAAACACAAGAAGUUUUACACAACUUUGAGAUAUUGUAAUUCUGCCUGAAAAGAGUGAGAAUUUAUUUCUAAGUAUAAAUUCUAUUUUCCGGAAUAACAAUUUUACCGGUUUUUAUUAGAGAGAGAUUUUUGUUUUCCCACUAAAAGUAAAGUAAAUCAUUUCUAGUUCUAUAUUUGAUUUGAAUUCGCUCGAGCCCACCCGCGAAGUAGUUCGUAGUAUGAGAAUAGCAGCGAAGAUCGUCCGGUUGAAAGUCGGGAACGAUAAGGAUCCGUCUAGCCGAAAACACAGGAGUAAUUUCAAGUAAAGUUUAUUACUAUAAAUAUCACAACCGACUCGGUUUUCAAAACUUUAAUUUUCCGUUGUGCAAGAAAGCUAUUUUCGAGCCAAAAAUUUUCCAACUGAAUACUGAUCCACCGUACCAGUUGUCAAAUCAUCACUUGGAGCUUGCUGGUGGAACUUUUUUUAAAUAAAAAAAAAACUUAAUAGCCCAAUAUCUUAAAAACUUUUGAAUGGUUUAGUGACUAGAAUGAAAGUUUUUGAAUAGUUUAGUGACCAAAUUAUAACUUUUUUAGUUAAGUGACCAAAACAAAAACCUACCCAUAGUUUAGUGACUAAUGGUGUAGUUUACAAAAACUUCAACGCAUGUAUAACAAAUAAUUACAUUUUCUUUUUAUUGGUAACGAUAAUUAUAUUUUUUUAGGGCAACUCUAUACACAGGAUUGGGGUAAUGACCAGUGUCUUAUAAAAUAUAAUAAAAUAUUAAAAAUAAAUACGUAUAAAAUAAAUGACACACUUGAUAAAUUUUUAAAUAUAUUUGUGGAAUUAAAAAAAAUACCAAAUACUGUUGGAAUAUGUUUUAAUUAAAAUAAUAAUAAAAGGACAAAACGUAAUAAAUGUUUUUCUUAAGAAACACAUUUAAAGUCCUUUUUUUUUGGUGAGUCUUUAAAGGUUCAUUUAGUAUAUGUAGUCAAUGAAGCUUUGAAAAAAUUUAGUAUACGUUUUCUCCAUUUUCUGCUCGUAAUAAAUUUCAUUUAAUUUCUUUCACUCUAUUAUCUUGUUUCACUCAGUUCUACUUUUUUUUUUUUUUUGGGGGGUCUGCCCUUUAUAUUUCUCUCCUCCCAUAAGAUUUUGGCCAAGUUUGUUCUAUUAAUUGCAAAAAUUAAUUUUAUUUCAAAUUUUUUUUAGAACCAUUCUAACAUUCUUCUCAAUUUUUAUUUAUGAAUUGAGGUUUGGAUGGACGAUUGGGUGUGGUGCGAUGCAUUUAGCUUACUUUUUGUCUCACGCUAUAAUAUCGUUACAGUAUUUAAUCUCACCGCCACCGCUGUUUUUACACUAACAGCAAGUAAACGCACCGCCCAUCUAAACUACCCUAAAUAGUGUUGUAUGUGACUGAAAAUAACUAAAUAUAAUUUCUUUUACUCGAUAUCAAUUGAAGACUUAUGUAUAAUUUUUUUACCACUUCAUCUACAGUUUAAUUAACUUGAAACAUAAUUUAAAUAAAAAUAAUUAUUAUUUCCUGAGAAACCUUAUUCGUAAAUAGACUUAAUCAUAGGUCGGGUCAGACCAAUGCAGAAUUUUAGGUUCCCUUUCUAAUUGCUCAAGCCUGACCCAUAUUAAAAAUGCUUAACUCGAGUCUGACCGUAAUAAAAAAUUUUAGAUUUUUUUAUACAAAAAUAAAUUUAAAAAAUAUAAUACAUCAAUAUAAUAAAAAUAUUAAAAUAAAUUAUUAAACUAAGUUUUAUUUGAUAAAUUAUUUUAAUAUAACAAAUUAGAAAAUGUUUUUGAAUAAAAAUAGUUUUUGUAUUGAUACUUGUAAUUAAGUAUCGAAACCUAUCAAAAAAUUAUCGAUACUUUUAAUCAAGCAUCAUAAAUCUCUCCAGAUAUUGAUGUGAAAAAGGGUCAACGAUCACUAAAUUAAACAUUAAAUGCUUUAAGUAUUGAUACUCAUCAAAAGGUAUCGAUACAUGUUGUUGUAGGUGACAUUAAUGUCAAAUAAGUUAUUACGCCUUAUUUAUUUAGUUGGGUGAGGCAUUGGGGGAAAGAAGAGAAGGGAUUGGUUUUGGUCCUUUUACUAUAUUUAGAUAUGAAAUUUAGUCUCUAUAAUUUAAUUUGACGUAAUCUUCUCAUCUACUUUUAUAAUAUCAAAUUGUGAUUUUGGUCCUUUUAUUAUACUCGAAUUUGAGAUUUAGUCGUUACAAUUUAAUAUGAAAUAAUUUUGUAUCUACUUUUAUAAUACAAUUAGUUAGUCUAACUAAUUGACAUGGUAAUAAUUUUAGUUGAAAAGUUGAAGUGAAUUUUUCUUUAAAUAUGCUUAUUCUAUAUAUAUAUAUAUAUAUAUAUAUAUAUUAGUAUCAUUAAUUAGAUUAAUAGACUUGAUAAAUUCAAUUAAAAUGUUGAGGUGGACUUUUUACUUUUAACAUAUUCAUUCUAAAAAAGAAAAAUAUGUUUUGGUAUGAUUAGUUAGAAGGUGAUUAAGUCGUGAAUUAGUUAGAAGGAAUGAAUUUAAGAAAAAAAACACUCAUAGUUAAAAUUGUUAACUUUUUGGAAUAAUUAAUGACAUUAUAAAAGUAAAUUGACCAAAUUAUGUCAAAAAUAAAGUAUAAGGUUUGAAUCUUAAAUUUGGGUAUAAUAAAGGGACUAGCACCAAGUAAUUAUAAUUUAUUAAAACUUAUAUUAAAUUAAUUAAAUAAAAAUUAUCAAAAAUAAAACCUCCUGUGUAGCAAGGUUACAAUUCUAAUUUCGAUUAAAAAUCUCUGUCUAUUUUAAGUUAUAUAAAAGUACGGAGACUAAAUUCUUAAUUUAUGAAGACAAAUUUAUAUUCGAACAAUAAAGAAUGCGAUGCAAUGUAUCAAAAUCUUGUUUAUAAAGAUCUAUAUUGCCAUCAAUGAAUUUUUCUGGAGAGAACUCUUCAACAUUAUUGGACCAAGCAUUAGGAUCUCUCCUGAUUGCCCAAAUGUCCACUAAAACCUUUAAAUUUAUCGGUAUGUAAUAGCAAUUAAUAACUAUGUCCUCAAUUGACUCGCGAGAAAAAAUAUGAUGAUUAGGAGAUCACAACAAAUUUCUCGACUUGAAGAUUAUUAAAGUAGUUCAAUUAGCAUGAUGCUAAAAAAAAACCUAACUUCGGUAACCUAAAACCUGAAUUAUCUCAACACUAGAUAGGGAAGAAAAGAAAAGAAAAUUGAUUAAACAAAAUUUUAUUGCUCAAAUAAAAAACCCAACUCUUUUAAUAUUUUUCUCUUCACCAGAUAGUUGCCGCAGACGUCGGAUUCCAGAGGAAUACCAUUUUUCCAUCCGGGCGAGAUGCUUGUCGCACAACCCUUUGAUGAUGGUAAACUCAACUAAGGAAUCAAUUUUACCCACCGUAAAUACGAAAAGAUGCCGUGCAUAUUAAAGCCUCCAUUCAAAGUGCAGUAAAAAAAAUUUUAAAAAAUUCGAGAAUUAAAAAUAUAUAUAUAUUUAAACCAUGCUUGUGGAAUUAAAAUACUCCACUUGCAAUGUAGCAAAUACAAAAAAUAAAAAAAUAACAUUAACUGUUAAUGAUGAAACUCAAACUUAAUCCAAAAGUUUCAUAUUAUAUCUGUUAAAAGAAUCUAACAAAUCUAAAUUUUGAAUAUUAACAUCUGCAAUUUUUCCUCAUCUCUCAAACUACAACCUCUUUAAAAAUAGUAACAACAACAACAACAACAAUAAUAAUAAAGAUCUUUUCCAUUAAUUUAGCAGAGGAAAAUAUUAAUUAUGCAAAAAAAAGGUCACAUAAAACAGCUAAGUGGCUGCCAUAGGUUAGUAGUAUAAUAUUCCCUAGUUCAUGUAAGUAUCGACUCUUAUAUGUCAGCCUGUAGCAUAGAUAAUGAUUCUCAACCCUCUAGGUUACUUCAAUGGAAAUGCAAAACCUUCAAAACUAUGAGCAUAAUCCACCAUCCACUUCCUCUUCUAGUUGAUAAAAUAUGUUUUAUACUACCUUCACGGUCAAGAUAUAGACCUCUUCCCGCGUUGUCGCUUGCAAGAAUCGUCUCCAGAACCCUGUGAUUUAGACGCACCUGAACCGGAAGCAACUGACGUAGGGUCCUGCAACGCAGCUUGAUCUAAGCUCAUUCCAGCUGACAUUACAGGUGCCUGUUGGUUGUAACUCAUGGACUCAACUCCAUUUGUUACAGCCCCUACUGCAGGGCCCUUAACACCUUUCUGGAAACUUGAACAGCUGAAUGGGCUUCGGUUCAAAAGUGACAAAAGGAACCUACUUGGAUUGGGACUUGUAUCUUUCAUCACUGGCAUAGAUUUGUUGAUAUCAGUAGAACGCACCCUCGAAGUCAGUGAAUCUACAGAUUCUGCUGGCGUUGGGAUGCCUGAUAACCCAUCAUAAGAUAGAAUCCAAGCUAUUGCAUAUACAGACGCCCCGAGAACAGGAGGAAGAACUUCGUGUGGAUGCAUUACCUGGAAAAGUCGAGAAGAAUAUAACAAGAAAAUGAGCACGUUUUAUGGCUGAACAAGUUAAAAUGAUACUAUUGAUCAAAGAAAACAGGGACGGGGAAGGUGGGCAAUGUGUAUUUUAGCUCUUAUGUAUGUACGCAGUCAAUGGAAAUGCCUACCUUGAAUAAGAUUGCUGCCAAUAAUCGUUCUCUCAAGCAGUAAAUUUGAGCAACAUCAAGGGCUGUUGAUCUGAAUGAUAGCCAGCGAUCAACAACCACCAUAACAGAAUUAUCGGGAGAGGACAUGACCUUAUCUUCUUUUCCACCUGACUUACUAACAGCCAACUUUUCAUCUCCAUCAGUGUUGCAUGCAUCACCAUCACCAUCAUCACUUCCAUCAUCAUCAUCAUCAUCACCAUCACCAUCAGCCCCAUCAUCAUCUUCAUCUUCAUCAUAAACAAUGCCUUUUAUAGGAGCCACUGCAAUCUCUGUUGCAAGAAAUAACAAUGGAAAUGGCCCAACAACAGUACAGUUCCUUAUGAACAUACCCCCAUCCCCACGUGUUAUUUCAUCAUACAUAAUCAAGGGGCAAUCUUCGGGUUUCUUGGGUACUAACUUUGAAUUAACAGAGCGAGUGUGUAACCGAACUUUACUGCCAUUGGCAGCCUCUAUAAUUAAUCGUUUACCCUGUUUUACAGGGAGUAUCCUCCCCACCAUUGGAUACAAACCAGCCACAAGGACUGCAUGGAGUAUUCCAGGGUGAUUUGCAUUUAGACUACAACUUGAGACAUCAUCUGGAAUAAACCCAUGCCGUAUUAGUUCACCCUGGAGCUGCUUACGCAUGCCAAACAGCAAGUUCAUGGUGCUUGAUGAGACAAAGUAUUGUGAACAAAAACGUCGCUCUAGACCCUUUCUUUUAGCAUUCUUCCAGCACUCAAACGCAGCUAUGAGUGCCAGCUGAUCACUUUGCCCACCAUACAGAGACGCAAGCUCAUGCCUGGCAGCGGCAGCCUUCUGCUUUUCAUUUGGUCGCAUGGGAAGGACAAAUGGAUCCUUGAAGUCUGAUGCACAUGCUAGUGUCAAUGCCGGAUCAAGGCAAUUCAUCAAUAUGGCAAAGAAAAGCAUCCUGCAUGUCAAUGGAUGAACAGGAAGAUAACCAAGCUUCUCUCCAAGUUCUGUCAGUUCCUCAUCUUGCGUGAAAGCCCCAAUAUCUUGAAGGACUCUAAGUGCAUUAUGUACAGUUUCAGAAACAGGAGGGUCCAAUGUCUUUCGCAAGAAAUCCUCUACUUUGCAAGCUGGGUCAAGCAAUUUCACCUGCCAGUGCAAAUAGAAUCAUGCACAAACUGUUACAUUUCAAUUCUUUUUCAAAGAAAGUAACACCUCUUCCCCCAUCCCUGCAAAGCCCUUUUUGUAAAAUAAGCAAAACCACACUUGGGAGAGAAAAAAGAGGCACAGCCUACUACAUUGACGGUAUCACAAUAUUAGUAAAUAAAUGUAAAAGAAAGGAGAUGAACAUGGUUUAUGACAGGAAAACUUCUGUAGCAGAUAUCCCCCCAUCUUCAGUGAGAGAGACAGAGAGACCUAACAAGCACAAAGCAGAACAUACAUUACCUGUAAACAGAGCUCUUCAAUUGGCAUUCUCUUAAUUUCUGGAACUUGAAAGUCAAGCAUAGAAGCUGCUCGAAGUUUUGAAUAAAGAUGAUAACAAAUUCCAGGUUGACAUCGACCAGCUCGCCCCUCUCUCUGCUUAGCAUUUGCUUUGGAGACCCAUGAAGACUGAAGGGUUGAUACAUUAUUAUAUGGAUCAUAGUUUUUCUCUUUCAUUCUACCACUAUCUAUAACAUAGACAACAUCAUCGAUUGUAACGGAACUUUCGGCAACAUUGGUUGAAAGAACGAUUUUGCGGCAGCCCAAAGGUGGACGAUUAAAGACCUUCUUUUGAUCAGCAGAUGGAACCAUUGAAUGCAAAGGUAUUAUAAUAAAUCUGGAAGAAUCUUUAAAAAAGGGGUUGGCGAGCAAUUUCUCUUUCAUUCUAUUUAUAUCCUCCCACCCAGGAAGGAAAACAAGGAUGGCUCCUUCAUUUGAACCAAUACAUAUCUUUCUUAGUAAUUGUUCAAUAAGAACAACAUCAAUGAUUUCUGGAUUACCUGAUGCUAUAUACUUUUCGAGUAAGUGCUGUCCCCCAAUAUUUUUUUGGGAACUUUCAAUAUGAUUUUUAAUUAUUUCAGCAGCUUCCUGCUGGUUUUCCUGCUCAGCCCAAUCCAAAGCACUCUUCCCGUCCUUGGAGAUUAGACUGCAGUCUACACCAAACGAGAGGAGCAUGCAAACUUCCUCCACUCUACCCUUUCCAGCAAACACCAUUAGUGGCGUUAGUCCAGUCAAAGAAUGCUGGUAAUUAUGAACCUUUGACCCUCCUUCAACAGAAAUCAAAUCUAAAAGUGGAUCAAAGUCAUCACUUGACCAAGCCAAAUUAAUAGCUUCAUCUAAUGCGAUCUUAUCUUCUUCAGUUAAUUCUGGGUCUUCAUCCUGGUCACUUGCAUUAGCUGCAAUAAGAUGAUUAUCGUCUGUGGAUUUCAGGAUAGAAAGCACAUCCUCCAAAUAGAAACUUCUUACCUGAAUUAAGAAUAUCAAGAAAAUUAUGAUGUGAUCCAAACAAAAAUAUAAAUGACAAAAAAUCAGUGAUAGAAUUUUACAGGAUAUGUAAACCCAGGAACACGGAUAAUUGGGCAACCACCAAAAUAUUGUGAAAACCGUUCAGAAUCAAGAGUAGCACUCAUCAGUACCUAUUAUAUCAUACAACAAAAGAGGAAAUACUAACUAAUUUUCCAUCAAGAUUUUAAAAUAAAAUUGGAGCAAUAUUAUGAACGCAUGAGGUGAAGAACUAACCACCCGUAGAUGAGGGUACGAAGGAAGUAUAUCCCUGCAAAUUGACAAAGAGAAAAUUAAAAUGUCAAACAUUCUAUUCAACUAUUAUCUUCCAUAGCUCCAUCUUCAAAGACAACAUGCCCCUAGGGAAGAAAAUAAUUAACACGAGGGUAUAAAUUGAAUUUGACUCGACCAAUAACUUUAGCUGCUGGAGCUCGAUAUUGGCUCAAUAAUGACCGAACCAAAUUUGGAGUUUUUUUCAAACCUAACUCGAGUAGGUUGCGAGUAUAAUUGUCUCACUUUCUCUUUACCAUAUUAGAUAUUCUCAAGAAUUUAUGGAGUCUAUACGACCAUCCCUUGGGAUAUAUUGCCAAGGGGAUAACCUACGAUUUUCAGGGUUGUUCUGACUCAAAACAGGCAGCUAUGUGACUAGUGGUGAGGCCCAGAGAGUAUGGAUAUGACUGCCACACCAUAUACAAUAUACCAAAUUGCUUAAAGAAACAUUGCAAAAAUGGUAAACCCUAAACCAUUUUAAGCCUUAAAUUUAGACUCAUAUGAUAUAAAACUUGAUGUUAGUAAAAGCAAGCAAACAAGGUUGGCCAAAAAUGCAAACAAAGAAGGUGAAAUUUUGAAUCACAGUACAUGUACCUGAUAAUUGCCAACAUGAAAUCACAGAAGCAGUCCCUUUCAUGAAUUUCAUCCUACAAAUUUCAGAAAUUAUCAACUACAACUGUAGGCCAUAAUAAACAUAAACAAAUGUGCAUGCACAAAUGAGAAAAAUAAUAUAUAUGUAUAUACAGCUUUGAGAAGAAAAUAAAUAUGGAUUUAGAUUUAUCUGAAAAACAAGAGUUCCCCAAGAAAAUUACAAGCACAAGAACCCCAUCACCCAUCUAAACCAAAUAAAAAUAUUCCAAGGUUUUCGGACUGAACCAGUCCAAGGAACUAAUUGCCAAAUAAAUCUUUCUUGCCUGAAAGGGCCAGUAUAUGCCCAGCAUCCACCUUAUUAUUAAAUUCUCCUGGUAUUGCUGGCUUAGUAAUCAAUUUUCAAACUGGUCAUCCUAGCUAGUCAGAUGCAGAAAUAGAGAACCUUUUCCAGUUCUCAAACUCAAACACUAAUCUGUCCUUUUUCUGCGGAACACUCCUGGGAGAAGAAAAUCUUAGGUUGGGAGUCAAGAACCAAAGGGAAAAUAGCAACAACAAGCCAACCAACAUGGUGCCUAUCAUGAUCCAUAAAAUUCCUAGGAGUAGAUAAAAGGAGGGUAGGAUACAAUUUUUAAACAAGUACAUAUGGCAAGCAAAGACCCAAAAGCCUUUAUAUCUUAAUUAACAUCACGGAGAGAACAAAAGGAGAAAACAAUGGCACAGUUCUUCACUGACAUUGGACUAAAGCCAAAAGCUGAGAGGAGCUAGUGCAGCCUCUAAAAAUUUCAAGAGGAAAGAACAGUAAUCCAUAGAGGGGUUCAGAACUUCGGAUCAGUGGAGGUAAAUAGACUUGUUAGAAAAUGUUUUAGUUUCAGUUUUAUAGAACAACAAAUACUUCUUGUGGUAUCACCAUAAGAAAAUUGUUUUCAUAUAGAAACACCUAUACUUGGAACUGCCUUUCCUCUCUCUUUUCUUCUCUUUCUUCAGAUUUCCAUGCAAAUGUAAUUGAACCACACUUAAAAUGGAAAAACCACUAACAGCCCAUUCCAUUCAUUUUCAGUCUUUUACCCAAUAACCACUUAGCUUUUUCUAGAUAAACCCUUCUACAAGUAAAUACUGAAGGAGGGCAACAAUUAUAUUUCAUUAGCAUAUAGAGUGAGAAAUAGAAGUCAGAUUUUUGUGGAAACAGUAAGCAUUUUAUAGAUAAACCCAAGAAGUUUCCAGGAUUUUAGCAGGGGCAAUUGGUCCUACUACUCUACAUCCCUAUUCUAGUAUAAGUCCAUUCCUAGCCAAGGAUGCAAGCAAUAUAAGUGGGGAAGUUAGUCUCAGUAUCCUAUAUCCCUAUCCCAACAUGCAUCAUCCCUAUCAAAUGAUGUUGGCAAUACAACUUUAAAACAGUCAGUCCUAAUAUGAAAUGUGGAAUGAAACAAUGUCAAUGUAGAAUCUGGUAAGCACCUCGGCCACAUUAAUAUGAACAGCUAUUAAAUCUAAGCAUGUUAAUAAAUAGGUUCAAGAAAAAUCCUGAGUUUAUGUUGAAGUAUAUAAUCUCCCCAGGCCAUAUUAACAUAUUCCCCCUAAUUUUUUCUGAAUUUUACCAAAGAAAGAAAGCUGUUUUUAAUCAUCUGAAUAUGAAAUUUAAGAAAAUUUACAAGCAAAACAAGAGUAAAUUAAAUACCAUAAUAAUGUGAGUCAUGUCAGAGAUGUCUUCUCUCUUUGAUCUACUGUUUGCAACCAGCACUCUCAAUAAUACCCCAUUCGUGCAGAAGACGAUUGAUGAGUGUCGACCGCCUUUACUUUCCAAGCGAAUCUUCAUAAAAGAUCAUAACCUUUAGCAAGGUGGUAUAAACUUAAAGCUUUUCCAUUAAAAAGCCAAGAAAAAUCAAACACUCAUUAGCAUGUUAGCUAAAUGCAGCAUUUCCACCUAACCGAGAAAACAAUAAACUGCUGGAUAAAUGGCAAGGAGCCACACUGAAAAAUAUACAUAGUAGCAAGAACUGCAGAUACUUUUUAAUUCCUUCAGUAGUUAAAGAACUGUGAAAGUUCGAACAAAUGGUUCUAGUUCUAUGCCUUUGGUAAGACUACCUCUAAUACAUUACCCAUCCUCAUGUGGUUAAAAUGCAGUGAGAAGAAAGCAGUAAUUUCUCUUAAAAUGCCAUUUAUUUUAACAAGUAAGAUUCGCAUCACACUUGCAUAUUUAAAAAAAAGUUUAGUAACAGUACCUUGUAUCCAACAUUUUCUCCAACACUUUCCCCUCUUUCAUUAGCAAUUCUCUCAGCCACUAGUAAAUAAAGAAAAGAGCAACCAUAUGAAGUUUUGCAAACCAUAAAAGCAGGGGAAAAAAAAGUAGAACAAGGAAUACACAGGCCUAACUUAUCCACACCUGAUGUAGCUGAUAUACGCCGAGGCUGAGUACACAGUAUUUUACAGGCCUCACCUUUCCCCCACAUAUAGUCCAAAAGAAAUUGUGGAACCUGGCCCAGAUGCACUGGCAAUAUAAGUCACAAACCCGAAAACAAAAGAAUCCUUACAUCAUGAACUUCAAGGAACAGUGAACUAAGUUCCUCAGCCUUGGGUAUAAUUUGAAUCGUACACUAAUAAUUCUGAUAAAUUUUGAGGUAGCAGUACUUCUAUAAAAGCAACUGGUUCUUGAUAUUAUUCUUUUAAGAAAAUAAUUGUCAUACCUGACUUCUGGCUUGAUUUAAUUAUAUAUGUUUAAUCAUUUAUAAUAUAAAUUCAUUUUUUUAAAUAUUGUAUAUGCUCUCUCUUAGACACAAUUAUAAUAUAAAUUCAGUUCAUCAGCUUUAAGCAGAACUUCACUUAUCUUGGUAUUCAUGAACUCUACUUUCAAUUGAUUGUAUCCAUAGAGAGAAAGCCAGAAUUAGAUUCUGAUUCUUAAAAGAAGGUAUUAUUUGAAGUACUAACAUAAGAUCAGAAGAAGACAACUAAAGAAAAGCCUUCACAGAUCCCAGCUACCAACUUUCUACUAAGAAUCCUAUAAGUAACAUAACACAAAAUGCAGUAAAUUAGCAUCCAUUCCCGACUUAGAGUUUGAGAAGCUGCACAUAGAUGAGAAUUUAAGAGUCAUUUCGGAAACAAGAUAAAGAGCCUCUGAGUUAGACAACCAAAAACUUGCAGAUUCAGUUUGCAGCAAUAGCAACCCUUUAUUGUUGCAUAAAGGAUUAGAAUAUUUCAAGGACAGUUUCAGCUGCAUCAAAAGCCUUAAAACCUGCUCAUUUUAAUUUCAUAGGAUUAAAUAGGAUUUCAUUAGAAUUAUCAAUUAUAGCCCAUCAAGCAUCAUGUGAUAUACAUUUCUUCUCUGUCCGUGUAGACUAAUCAAGAAGGGAAAAUGAUGGGCAGGGGCACUUCGAAAACAGAUAGUUCAAAAAGUUCUAUUAAAUAUACCCAAAAAAGAAAAGAUAAAAGAAUACCUGUGUUGUCUUGCCACACCCAGUCUCGCCAGAAAUGAGGAUAAUCUACAUUGGAAUUUGGAAGAAAAAAUAAGUAUAACAAUAUGAAAUAAUCCCAACCAUCCAACUGUAACUCAAAGAGAACAGGAAAAUAUGGACUUCUCAUUGGGAAAUAACAACCCAUUGAAUUGAGACAAAGCAGAAAUAAUUGAGAAUACCAAUAUAAAUAACUCUGUAUUACUACUAUAUUCUGAAUCUGUGCACCAGGCACAGACACACAUCUUAAAAAAAAAAUACGUAGAAGACAAAAGGCAACCUGGUGACAUUCUACUGCAGAUGUAAUGGCAUCCCUAAACCCAGAAAUUGGAAGCUUUGACCUCUCUUCAUCAAUCUGCAUUCAUGAUGUCAGAAAACCUUCUCUCAUAAACUAAUUUAGAGAAACUACAAAAUCCCCCCUUAUGCAUAAGAAUUGAGUGAAAAAAUAAGUAGCAUCCAGCCAAAGUUUCUAAGCCAGCUUGUAAGGAAGAACCUGUCUCAUGUUUGGAUGCUUCUCUCUCUUAGAUGCAAGUGUUUUAACCUUCUUUGCAAUCUCCGCAGCAUUCAUCAAUGGCUUCGAGAAAAUAUCAUCUUUCUUUCUUCGUAUUUUAGCAGAUUUUCCGCUAUAUUUUCCAAUUACCUUCUCUUCAAGCUCUCCAUCAUCUGGUGGAUAAUAUGCAAAUAAGUCCUGCAAAACCAAUUUUGUCCCCUCCGAAAAUGACACGUUAGUUGGAUUCUUCUCUGUCAUACUGCUGGCUUUCUCUUUGAUUUUAUAGACAGAGACACAUCUCUGGCUCCCACGCCUGAAAACAAAAUUCAGGCUCUUAAGAAACCAAACUGGAAAACUCAAUUGCUAAACCACAUAAAAGAAAAUAAAGCAGUGAGUAUCUAUUCCACAAUUAAGAAGGAAUACAUCAAAAUAGUAACAUUAUUUAACAUUUUCUAACUUAAUAUUAUUAAUAUCAGUGAAGCAUGAAACCAGCAAUUAACACUUACCCUUUACUUUUGGAUUUCAUACCCAUUUUCCGGCAUGCCUUGUGCACCACUGCGCGUUCUUUGUUAGUAAGGUUGGAUUCAAAGGUAUACACUACAUACAGCAUCGAAAAUUCAAUAAGCUAAUAUAAAAACUUAACCACAAGAAAAAUACUAAAAUGAAUGUUUAAUGCAUAAGAAGCAAAUAGCAUUCUUCAAUAUCAUUCUAGCCAUUGUAAUCCAAUUAAUCACCAAAACAUCAUUUUUUUUUUUUAAAAAACGAGAAUUGUCGGAUUCAGUAAAUAUAUCAACACAAACAUGCAAACAAGGCAGAACUUUCUCCAAUUCUCAACAUUGAGACAAAAUUCGGUUUGCUAGCAUUAAAUUACAGCAUUCCCAAAAACAAGUAAAUUUUAUUGCAGUAGCAACAAACCACGUCUUGCAAUUUUGAAGAACACAUUUUCAAAGAGAUGAACAACCUAUCACAUUAGCUUGAAAAACAACCAACCUCCCCCCCCCCUCCCACGCACACACACUCAAUAACUAUAGUAUUAAGAAGCCCUAAAUAAAACUAUGAUAAAAAAAUCCAGUAUUCCCAAUGCAUUUAAUCUUCAAAAUAGAAAAUUUAAACGAGAUUUUAAUAAUAAUAAAAAACCUUCAUCUUCUGAUUCACGAAAUUUCUCAAGUAUGUUGUUUAAUCGGAUAACGGCGAUUUCAGCUAAGGGGUUCUUCUUUCCCAUUGAUUGGGGUUUGUAUUUGGUUUUCCAAAUGCAGAGUAAAAGAAAAGCAGGGUAAAACAAAAACCAGAAAAGAAGGAAAGCAGGAAAAGAAAGAGACGUAGGGGAAGAGGCGCCUAUCCUGUCUCUUAAUUGCUGCUUUCGGGUUUAGGUUUCACUCCUUUAACUUCAAACCUUCUAUUACAUUACCACCGCUUUACUCCCUCCCAAUUAUUAUUUUAAUAUUUUUAUAUCUUCCUUGAUAAUUAAAUCGAGUCUUAGCUCUAUUAUUAUGGGUAUUUCUAUUAAGGUAAGAAGACGUGUAUUUGAAUGCGGUAAAAAUUUAUGAGUUAAAGAAGAAAUUAUAAAUAUUUGUAAGUAUUAUCUUAAAAAUAACACAAAAAAAUAUAAAUAAGUAAAUAUUAAAUGUACUCCAAUUAGUUUUCGAUGUAGAUAUUGUUUUAUAGUAAGUUUAAAUGUGACGUUUCAUUAAACAUGUUAAUAAGACAUUAUUUUGGCAAAAGAAAAUUUCAAUUAUCAAUCAAGCUGGUGUAUUUAAGAUGUUUAAGGUUUUAGGUUCAAUCUCAUCAUAUACAUGUUUUAUUUCUAUUUAAAUUUUUUAUAAAGAUAAGUUAGUUUCAUUACACAUCAUCAAAUUAUGACCGUCAUUUUAAAUUAGCCUCCAAACUUUAAAAUGUUCUAAUUACAUCCUAAAUUAUUAAUAUUCUAUCAAUUAGGUCAUCUCAUUCUUAAAAUUGAUAAAAUGAUACAUGAAAUCUUAUAUAGCUAAAUUUAAAAUGAAUAAAUAGAACAUUAUCGUGUAACUUUUAAAAAUAAAAACUAAAAAUAAAGUAAAACUGAAAAAAAUAGUGAACGAUAAAACUUAUGUAAAAGUUUCAAAAAUCUUAAAAUUACGAUUUUUAAAAUAUCUAUUUUUACAAUAUUCAUUUUCUUAAACUUUUCAUUUUAAAUUAUGUCACAUAAGCUCUAACGUGCCAUUUAACAAUUAAAUUAAUAAUUUUAAUAACAAAAUAACCUAACUGAUAUAGCAUCGAUAGUUUAAGGAUGUAAUUAGAAUGUUUUGAAGUUUAGGGACCAAUUUGGAACGAGGGUCAUAAAUUAGGGAUGUUUGAUGCAAUUAACUCUAUAUAUGAAAAUAAAAAAAAUACCCCUUAAUAAUAUUUCUUAAUUGCAUAAAGUUGGAUUUUUUUGGUAUUUUCACCGAUAGAAUUUGAUAUUGAAUUAGUUAUAAUAUUUUUUAAUUAUAUCUUAUAAAAUAAUUUAUAAAUAACGCUUAUAAUUAUUCAUAGCCUCUUUUCAACCCAUAAAUAAGAGGAUAAUAUGCUUCAGUGCACUCAAAUCCACAUACUCCCAUUAACAACAAUGUCUAUACCAAUCAAAUUAAAAUCGCAACCAUAUAUUUUUAAACCGAAGUUGCCUUCAAUCAAUUUAUGUAAUUACUUUUUUUCUAGUAAACAAAAAAAAACCUUAAUAUUAAUAAUUAAAAUCAAAACAUGAGGCAUUAUUUUGAGAAUGAUUGGUCCGACCAGAAGUUAAUAUUCAACAUCCACAAGUUUCCCUGUUAAAGACAAAAAGAAGAAAUAAAGACGAGAAGGUUUGGACGAUAAAAUAGCCAGCAAAUUCAAAUCCAACAAAAUCAUAACUCGUAAAUUAAUAAGAUUUACAUAAAAUCCCUCUUCCAUGUUUAAGCUUUGUUUAAGCAACACUGAAGGAACUAGCAGCACUCUCCACAAACUUUCUAGCUCCCUUGAACCACCUCUUGUCCCCAGCUUGUGCCUUGCAAAUGUAAAGCUUGCCGUUGUUGACGGUGGCUGUUAUUAGCUGGUGCUUCCCACCUUCGUCUCCGUCGGCGGUUCUUGUCAACACUGACAAGAAGUAGUACGGCUUCCCGCCGACUGUUGAACUUGAACUCUCCAAUAUGUUUGCGGUCGCCACCGCACCGGAGUCAAAACCACCCUGCAUAUGCGCGCGCGCACACACAUGUAUGUACUCAAACCACGUAUGUAAAUGGUUGCUUUAAAUUCGAAAAACAAGGGAAUGGGAGGUACCAAAAAUGAAGUCUAUGAUAGCUAUUACAUAUGUUAUAUAUUAUAUGCAUCUGUUAGUGAAUCACCUCAGAAUCGGUUUUACCAAAGUAAGCUUGUUUUCCAAGAAGAUAAUCCACCUGCAAAGAUUCAAUGAGAAGCAAAUGGAUGAGCAAAGAUUAAAUAUUGAUAAAAUAUUUAAGCUGGUGGGAAAAUGGAAUACCGAAGAGAGGAACUCCUCAGGGGAACCGUAGUCGGUGAUGGACUUCUUGUCGGUGGGAGUGAUCAUGACGCUCAAAUUGCUGGUGGUGUCGAAGUUGUCCUCAUACCUCAGCACUUGACCUGGGAACUCCACCUCUUUGCUUGGGUUCCAUUUCGAUGGUAUCGACAGCUUGAAUCCAUCCCCAUUGUAUGGCAUGAAUUCUGUGUCUGUUUUUGGCUUUCCAAAUACAUUUGCUGCAUCCAAAUCAACCCAUUCAUUUUCAUUCACUUAAUUAAUAUCAUUAUCUCUUCAUGCUAGCUAGGGUUCAUGAGGCCUAAACGUACGGCUGAUAAAGAACAAGAAAAAGAAAAAGGAAGAUAAUUACCAGCUUCACCAUAGGCAGCAUCAGCAGGAGAAACCUUAGAGCCAACAGCGGCAGCACCAAUGAGUACAGUGAGAGCCAACCUACGGGACACAAGGCUUCCAUCAUCUUCCUGCUUCUGAGCCUUGCACACCACCUGCUGGUUAGGC
rnacentral:lncRNA from 1 species